UUUUCAGGAGCAAGGCGUUUAUUUUAACAUCUAACUUCUCCAGUCUCUGUUUCAAUUUUCCUAGAUCUCUAGUUUUGUUUCGCUCUUCACCUUUCAUUCUCUUUUCUUCCUUAUCUUUCUUGUUUUUCUUCUCGUCUUCUCCUUUAGGUCCCUUAUCAGAUUCUUGUAUAACAAUUUCCCUACUGGUGUUUGUAACUGAGGUAUCAGUCUUCUUGGAUUCUUCUAUCUUGAUUUCCCUACUGGUGUCCGUAACUGAGGCCUCUGUCUUCGUAUCAUUUCCCUUCUCUUUCUUCUUCUCCUUUCUUCCCUUCUUGUCUUCUACUUCAUCCUUGUCUUUUCUUUUAUCUUUGUCCUCCUUUUCUUCGUCUUCUACUAUUUUCUUAUCUUUUUUCUUCUCUUCUUUCUCUUUCUCGCCUUUUUCUUGUUUCUUCUCGUCCUUCUUGUUUUCAUCUUCUACUAUUUUUUUAUCUUUUUUCUUCUCUUCUUUCUCUUUCUCGCCUUUGUCUUUUUUCUUCUCGUCCUUCUUUUCUUGCUUUAAUUUCUUUUCUUCAUUUGCAGUAUCUUCUUCAUCCUUGCCCUUCUUCUUCUCCCCUUUGUUUUCCUUCACUUCAUCAUUCUCUUCAUCCUUGCCCUUCAUAGUAACUCCUUUGUCCUUUUUCUCCUUUUCCUUCUCUACUUUCUUCUUCUUCUCCUCUUCUUUACUUUUAUCUCCUUCUUCUUCUUUGUCCUUCUUCUUCUUUUCCUUCUCUCCUGUUUUUUUCUUCUUCUCUUCUUUACUAUCAUCUUCUCCUCCUUUCUCCUUUUUCUUCUUCUCCUUCUCUUCUGUCUUCUUCUUCUUCUCUUCUUUGCCACCAUCUUCUUCUCCUCCUUUGUCCUUUUUCUCCUUUUUCUUCUCUCCUUUCUUCUUCUUCUCUUCAUUACCAUCAUCUUCUUCUUCUCCUUUGUCCUUUUUCUUAUUUUCCUUCUCAUCUUUCUUCUUCUUCUUCUUCUUCUCUUCUUUAUUUUCAUCUUCUUUUUCUUCUUCCUUCUCAACCUCCUUCUUCACUUUCUUAUCUUCCACUACAUCAGAACCUUUGCCCUUCUCCUUAUCUUUCUUACCUUUUUCCUGUUUCUUUUCCUUUUUUUCAAAAUCUUCAUCUUCCUCAGCUUCUUUUUUCUUUCCUUUCUUUUCUUUCACUCCAUCAUUCUCCCCAGAUUUCUCAUCUUUCUUCUUAGGUUUUUUUUCAUCUUUUUUCUCUUUCUUCUCAUCGUUCUUUUCCUUCUUCUUGUUCACUUCUGUUUCCUUUUCUGCUCCAUCCUCAUCUUUGUGCUUCUUUUUGGAUUCCUUCUCUUCUUUGGCUUCAUCUUUGUUCUUGUGCUUCUCUUCUUUCUCUUCUUUUUUGUUCUUCCCUUCCAAUUUUGAAUCACCGUCUUCCUUAACCUUGACCUUCUUAUCUUUUUCAUCAUCGGACUUCAACGAUUUUUCCUUUUUAUUCUCGAUAUCUUUUGCCUUCUCUUUUUGUACUGAUGAGCUUUUUCUUUGAAGCUUGGCCGCUGUCUUCUCUUUCUUGUCAUCUUCAUGUUUUACCUCCUUGUUCUUCAUCUUAACCUCGAGCUUUUCUUUCUCAACCUCUUUAUCCACCUUAACAACUUCCCAAUCAAGUUCAACCUUUGUCUUCUCUUCUUUUCCAAUAACUGGGAUACUAACAGAUCCAUCAGCCAUCUUGAUGAAUUUCACUAGAAUUUCAAAUUUGAAAUCCCCUUCCCAAAUGCCCUUUAAAUUUCAAUAGAAAACACACACCUAAACAAUUAGAAAGCAGAGAAAGUCACCAACUGAAAAUAGCAAAACAAAACAAACUGCAUGAAGAAGGGAGAAAAAGAUAAAAUGAAGUAGCUCAAAAAAUUCUUGAUCUGUAAUUAUAAACAAGCAUAUAGAGGGAGAAAAUUCGACCUGAAUUCCUGUUGCACUCAGAAUUAUAAGUAGUCAAAAAAUUGUCUAAGCCUGUCUUUCCCUAAUCCAAAAGAAUCAUGAAAGCCCCAUUCAGCGACCAUUUAGUUUUUCGUCUUCAAUUUUUUAAAAUUAAGUCGAAAGGAAAUACAAUAAACGAAACUAACAAAAUAGAAAUUCUCCACAAUCCAUGCCUCAAAACACGACAGAAGGCGUUAUCAUCUCACAAAUAUGAAAUAACAAUUAGCAAGAACUAUACUAAAAUCCAUACGAAUAAAAAAGAGACAGAUUCCUCCCUAACUAAGCAAUCAAGAAGAGGAAAAAAAAAAAAAAAAAAAACCCACCAAUAAUGAGAUCCUAAACACAAAUUAAGAUUAACAACCCGGAUUCAAAUGACAAAAUCGAAAUUCAUUAAUUCCAACACAUAGAUGAGGUAGGGCAAAAAUGCAUCAAAUAAUCCGAAACAAAACAGAACACAAUCAGAACAUGGCAUGGAUUCAAUUCAACAACACAAACCCUGUGGAACGUUACCUUAUUUUAAGAACUGAAUCGAAGUAGAAAUUGCUGUUAGGAGAGACAGAUGAGAUUAGGGAUGAAGAGGUUAUUAGAAUUUAUGAGAAAUGGGAGUAAAGGAGAAUGGAUGAAAACCAAUGGAAGGGGCAAGAAGAUUGACUUGGUUAUUUUAUUAGCUUAAAAGCAUUAGUUUUCUCAUAGGACCGAACACGGAAUGGACUAUGAAACCUGAUGGCCAAAACUUGAGGUCGGUGAAGUCAUUUCCAAAUUAUUUUUCAAAAUACACUUUUUUUUCUUUCCCUCUUUUUUUCUUUUUUCUUUUUUUCUUUUUUUUUUCUAUAUUUUGGAUAUGGACAAAUUUUAUUUUGCUUUCACAUUUACAAGAAAUUAAACCAUAUAGUUUUUAGAAAAUAUAGUUUAGGGUUUAAUUAUAGAUUUGGUAGUUUUCUUUAUUUUGGAUAUUCCUAUAAUUUUCGUACUUGAUUUUAAACCAUAUAGUUUUUAGAAAAUAAUUUGGUAAAAAGUUUAAAGAUUUUCUUCCAUAACAUUUUUUUCUUUUUUAAAUUAAACCUUUGUUAAAAUUUGAAAAUUAAAAUAAUAGCUUCCAAUAAUUAAUUGUUUUUCAAAAUUAUGAUAAUAAGGUUCAUGUCACAACAUUUUUUUAAUUGCAAAAGUAACAAAUUUAAAAGAUGAUAAUUUUUUUAUAGUCAAUUUGAUAGUUUUCUGAUAUCACUGAUUACUUGUCAUACUCGCAAUAUGCAAAAAAAGAUGUCAUGAACUGUUCUUUUCUAAAAGUUUUUGUCAUCUGACCCUUUUUAAAUUUGAUAAAGAAUUCAAUCAAUAUAUUUAAGAAAUAUGCAAAUCAUAAUAAAGUAUGAGGAUGAAAUAGUCUUAAUUAAAAAAAAAAACGAAAUGGUUAGGUUUUAAUUAUUAAGAUUUUAAAAGUUGGUAAAGUAGAAAAUUUAAACCAUAGAUUUCGAGAUUAUUAGUACAUCCAAAUGUCAAUCGAUUUAAAUUAUUCUUACUUAAAUGUUAGAACUUACUCGUUACUAUUUGAUUAAGAAAAAGCUAUUUAAGAAAAGAUUUUUUAGGAUUAUAUCUAAUAAUUCUCAAACUUUAAAAAUCAAAUUAUAUAACCUUUUUAAAAAGAGAGUAAAAUUGGAAAUAAAAAAACAAAAAUUAAAAGUUUGUUUUUUUUCCAAUAAAAAGAGUAAGCAAAUUAAAGGAGGUAGCUAAAGCUAAGCUACGUAGGCAAAUAAUGUUAAUUUAAUACAAGCUUUUAUCAACUUUAUCAACCCUUCUUGCCGGUCGCCUUUAAAUGGCAUGGGGGCGUCCGCAAGAAGGCAUGACUUUCCGAUACUUCUUGCUAGCUAUCUUUUCCAUUUUUUAAUAUACUAAAUCUAUUUUCUAGUGUUACUUUUGAAUUAUUUAUGUAUACGAUUUAAAUCCUAAACAUUUUUAAUUACUUUUUUUAGUUACUUUUUUAGUUGUGUUAAUUUAAAUCUUAAACUUCCAUACAUGUAUUAACAUAAACCUUCAAUUUUCAUGAGAGACUGUUUGGUAUCUAGCUUGGAAUCAGGUGGGUUUGACAUUUGAUGUCAAGCCUUAACAUUUGGUGUAAAUUCAUGAUUUUAUUUUAAUUUUAGUUAUCAAAUUUAAACUAGUAAUCUUAGUUUCAUUUUAAAAUUAUUACUAUAAUUUUUUUAUAACAAGUCAAAUAUAUUAAAGAUUGAAAUAAACUGAGUUGGUUUGACUAAAAAGACUAAAAUUUUGUUUAUAAUUUUAUGAAUUUUUACAAAAAUAGCAAAAAUAUUUACAACAACAUAGUCCAUGUCACAAUAUUUUCUAAAUUUGUAAAGUAGCAAAUUUAAAAGUGGUGAUCGUCUGAUAGUCCUAUGAUUACUGUCUGAUUGUCCUAUGAUUACCAUUUGAUAGUCAUAUGAUUACUGUCUGAUUGUCUUAUGAUUACCGUUUGAUAUCACCAAUUUUUUGCAUAUGACGUUCAUGGUUUAAUUUGUACGAAUAUCUUAAAUUAAUUUAUUUUAAAAAAUAACUUUAUCUUGCCAUGUAAACAUCUAUAAAUUUCUUAUAUUAAAUUUAAACAAAUUUUUAAAAAUUCAGACCAAAAUAACUCAUUUGAAACAUAAAAAUAUUUAGGUGCAUUUUAUCAAACCGGUAAUUCAUUAGUUAACAAUUUGAUUUUGCUUUUGCUUUUCCCUUUUGAAAAUUAAGAUUAUUUUUUAAAAAAAAGCUUUACAAUAAUGUGUAAAAAAUUUGAAUUAUUGAAAAAUUUUCAAAUAAAAGAUGUGUUCUUAAAAAUUACUUGUUUUUCCGUUUUCAAAAAUAGAUUUGGUAUAUUUUUUUAAAAAAACAUUGUUAUAAAUUUAAAGUUGGAAGAGUUAUUGAUUUAAAUUUGAGAAGCUAAAAAUAAAAAAUUAUGUUUCGUUCGAUAAUCAUUUUAUUUAUUUUUUAUUUUUUUAAACCUAUAAAUAUUAGUUUCACAUCCAACUAUUUUACUUUGUUAUAUAUAUAUUCUACUCGUGAUUGAGAAAGCCAAGUCAAAUUUUAAAACCUAUUUAUAUUGUCUCGACCACUUGCUUCACAUAACUUUCAUUGUUCAUAUUAGAUUAUAAUUUAGGAAGAAAUUUGUAGUACACAUUUAAGAGUUUUUUUGCAUCGUAUAUUGGACGUAGUCCUCAAAUUUGAGAUAAACAAAUAUACUUUUACUUUUAGUGUCAUUUUCCUUUUUCUUUACUUUUCACGAUCGAUUGCUUAUUUUGGUUCUAACUUAGAAUGUGGGAAUUGGUAUAUAAUUUAAAUUUAUUCUAUAUUUAUAGAGUAAGGUAAGGCUCAAUCUCGAUGCCUAAGAAAAUUUACACAAUUAAUCAAACGUUGGAAGCGUUCAAGGAUUAAAGGAACAAUUUCAUUGACUUCUUGAUUGGUCCAAAGUUUUGCAUUUUCUUGUAGAGUGAAAAAUAGCUUUGUAACUUUCUUUGUUUAGCCCACAAAAACUGUACUUUCACACAUAUAUUCCAUGAGAAUUUCACCAAUUGGAUUACCAAAACCCCUGACAAAAUGUAAAAAGGUAAAACGAAUUCGUCUCGAUCCUAAGUUUUGGUUCAAUUUAGUAUCGUACUUUCAAUUGUGUAAUCAUUUAGUCUUAACAUGAAAAGAAAAAAAAAAAGAAUCAUCAACCUUUCAAGUCAAUUUUUAUUAUUUUAAGAUAUGUAGAUUUUGUAAAAUUAUUAAGCCUACCUAAAUAGUUUAUUGAUUUUUUUUUUAUUUUAGAGGGUGAGAAUUAAAUUAUUGUUGUAUAUUAGACUUGAGCUGCUACUAAAAAAACUAACUAAAAUUUAAGAAUUAACUAAUUAUUACUUACAAGUUUAGGAAGUAAAUGUGAUUAUUUAACCUUUCAUUUUAAUACUGACAUUUUCCACUUCAAAUACAGAAAAGAGUCAUAAACACAUGCUUUCCCUAGUAAUGAGUUCAAUUAAUUACCCAAUACUUUACCCAUUUUUUCUUCUUCCAUUUCUUCCCAUCUCUAAAACGAUCUCACUUCAAUCAAAGUAUAUGUGUGUGUGUGUGUGUGUGAGACAAGAAAAAAAGAAAAAAAAAGAAAAAGAAAAACCUCACUGAAAAGCCUUAGAAAGUUGAAUGUGUUCUCAACAAGAUUGCAUGUUGAUACAUAGUUUGAUUUGAAUACAAAAUGUGAAAUAAAAGUAUACAUCGAAUUUGGACUCGUUUGAAAGAGAAAUUUGGUAAUUUUUUUGUCGUUAGUCUUUUUAAGAAAUUUGGUAAUUUUUUUGUCGUUAGUCUCUUUAAGAAAUUUGGUAAUUUUUUUGUCGUUAGUCUUUUUAAGAGAUGCAUUCACCUUGAAUUUUGUGUCAUACUUCACUAAAUUAACCGAAAAUUCAUCGAGGAGGGGUAAAAUAGUAAUGGUUUAAAGUUAUUUAUAUAGAUAAACAAGUGAUAAUUGAAUGAUGUAGGUAAAUUUAUAAUAUUUUGAUUCGUUUUGCUAUAUUUUGGUAUGUUUUACCAUAAUAUUUGUAAAUAGAAAAUUUGAACUAUACAAUUAUUUAAUUAAUCUAGUUUAAUAUUGGAUUAAUUUAUUGCAAUGUGACAAAUGUGAUAUAUUGAAAACUCCAAGAGAGAAAAAAAUAAACUUUUAUAACAAUUUAAGUAAUAUAACCAAUUUCAUGGGUCUUUUAUCUAUAAGUUUGAAGAAGAAAAAAAAUGUGUAUAUGUGGGGGAGAAAUCCAUUGAUAGAGUUGAAGAUUUGGAUGAAUCAUUUAUAACAAUUUAUAUGUUGUGACUGAAUUCAUAUAUAAUAGAAUUUAUUGUAGAGUAUUGCAAGCUCUUAUUUGAUAGUAUAUCGAUCAAUUUGUUUUGAAGAUUUUUGGAAAAAUUUUUUUUUAACAAAUUUGAGUAAACAACAUUGCACACUCAGAAACUAUCUUAAAUCACUAAUAUACUCACAAACUUAAAUUGAUAAGUGAAGACAAUUUUAAUAUAAUAUCUAAUAGACAAAAAUAUAAUAGCAAACAUGACGGUGAUUUUAAAAUUUUGCAAAUAUGGCAAAAUUCUUAUUUUUAAAAAUAUUUUUCAUCUUAAAUUUGUUGUUAUUUCUAAAGUAUCCUUAUUUCUUCUUCCACUUUUUUAAUUUGUAUCAAGUAGUUUUUUAGAAUAACAUACAGUAAAUAUGACACAAAGUUUUAGAAUUUUGCAAAUAUGACAAAGUUCUCAUUCUUGAAAAUAUUUUUUAUAUUAAAUUUGUUAUUAUUCUCAGACUAUCGUUUUUAAGCUCUAGUCAUCAUUUCUCUUACAUUCUUUGAAAUUUGAUUUUUUUUCGUUCUUCCUCAUCGAUAGAUUUUAAUUGGUUAAUCGUUUUAGAGAUGGCGUAUUCAUUUGUUAAUCGUUUGUCAAAUCAUUGAAAACUCAUAUGAAGAUGGAUUCUUGAUUUUGAUUUUGUCCUUCACCAUUAUUGAUUUCGAUUUUGUCCUUAUGGUUUUAGGAGUUCGGUUUUUUGUAUCUUCAACAUAUGAACGAUUUUUUUAAGUUUUAUUUGUGGGUUUACUUCUUUUAUUUAUGGUUUUGAAGUUAGGCAUCCCUCAAUUUUUUUUAUUAUUGUAUUAAUUUUGAUUUUAAGAUAUCAUUGGUACAUUAAUUGCAGUAUGAUAUAUAAUGGUUGUUAAAUAUGUGAUUGUUCUCUGCUUUCAAAUAAUUUUGUUUUACUUUGUUUUGUUUUGGUUUUACUUUGCAUAUGAGUGUUGUGAUGUACUUAUUUUAUAUGUAUUAAUCAAUUGAUAUAUUUAUUGCGUGAUUUUCAUUUUUUAAAAAUAUUUUGCAGUUCAUUAUAGUUAUGGUUAAGCAUAUAAUAAAAUGUGUAUCAAUUGUAUAAAACAGUUAAUUGUUAAGUAUAUAAAUGAUAUAACUUAAUGUAUCAUUAUCAAGUAUAUCAACCAUAUAUCAAUAAAAUAGUAUAUCAAAAUACAAACAUAUUAUUGACGCAAAUUAAAAAAUUAAAACCAAAUAAAUAAAAGGAAAACUAUUAUAGAUAAAAAAAAAAUGAAAGUAGAAAAAUUGAAAAAUAAAUGAAGAAUUUUUGCUAUAUUUUAAUGUUUUCAAUAUUUUGUUAUUUUUAAAAAUCUUCUCCUGAAAGAAUUAAAACUAACUAAGAGUGAAAAGAGGUAAAAAUUGUGCUCCCAUUAAAUGACAAAUAUACCCUUGUCGUACAUCUUACGCAUUCUUCUUAUUAUACACCGCGUCGUCUCUGCUUCAAUUUCCAAUUUCCAUCUCCAUCUUCAUCUCUUUACUAAACUAAACCCCCACUGUACUUCCUUCCCAAUUUCAAUUUUUGCUCCAAUUUCUAUUCUAGGGUUUCUCUCUGACUACUCCCAAAUUUAACCUUCCCCCCCCUUUCCAUCUCACUCUCUCAAUUCCUCUUUCGAUUUUCCUAAAAUCCCUAACUUCAUGAUCGUAUUCCACAUUCUCUCUUCUCUGCCCUGCCCCCGCCUGAAGAAUCCUCUUCUUUGAUCACUCACUGCUCCAGAUUCUCUUACAUCCGUUUGCCACUUCGAAGUUUAGCUGGAUAUCGAUUUUUCUGAUCUGGGCUGACUGGGGUUUUCGAUUUAAGGUAUGGAUGUCGAUGGAGGCGGCAAGCGCGUUUUUCAGAGGCUGGGCGCACCUUCUGGAGAUUCUAGGAAUCAGAAGGUUUGUUUCCAUUGGAGGGCGGGUAAAUGUAGUCGCUAUCCAUGUCCUUAUCUUCACCGGGAGUUAAAUGGUCCUCCACAUGCCGCUUCCAAUGGAGCUGCUAAUGCUGCCUCGAAGAGGGGUCAUGGAUUUGCUUCUGAUGAUUCGAGUGUUUCUGUUCCCCGACGGAGUCCCAAUUUUAGCGGCGGCUCGACGUGGGGACGAGUUCAUGGUGGUGGUAAUAGAAUAAUUAGAAAGACAGAGAAGCUUUGUAAUUUUUGGGUUCAGGGGAACUGUACUUUUGGUGAUAAGUGUAGAUACUUGCAUUCUUGGAGUUUGGGCGAAAGUUUCUCUCAUCUAACGCAGCUAGAUGGGCAUCAAAAGGCAAGUGAUAAUAUGUCUAAAACAAAACCAGAAUUCCCAUUUAUGCGGAGAAUUGUUGUUUUGUUUUGUCCUAUAUUUCUUCUAUUGACUGCAAGUGUGGGACCUAAUAUUUCCUUGACUUUUACUUUUUAUAGGUGAUAACUGGGAUCACUUUUCCAUCUGGUUCUGAUAAGCUUUAUACUGGUAGUAAAGAUGAGACCGUCAGGGUCUGGGACUGCCAGUCCGGGCAGGUUAGUUACCGACCUUCACUUAAUUUGUCCUUCUGCUUAUAUCCUCAUCUCUGUCAUAGACAUCUUUACUAUAAAUAUUAUAUCACUUAAGUAUUAUUUAGUGUUUACUGUGAAAAUUGGUGUAGGCUUGUUCUGUUUCUAUUCAGUUUGAGAGCAAUUUUAUCGAUGAGAGAUUGCAUGAACAUUAAUGGGAUAAUGCUAUAUUUGGAAAGUAAAUCGCAAUAAGCUUCUAAGCAACCACUGAAGGCUAAGUUCUCGAUGUUUCUUAAUUGGAUGUCGAGAGGGUAAGCUGCAAGCUUAGAGUGACUGGAUAGGCCAUGUAAAUUUAUCCUUUCUCUGCAUGUAUUUUUAUCAUACAUUUUUUAAAAUAGAUUACUUGUUUAGGGGGUAGACAAGUAACUUGGUGGAAGGGUUUGGAGUGGGUGAAGGUAAAUAUCCACCAACGUUUACGCACCAGUCAACAUUAUCUUUUGCUAGUAAAUAGAGGUCUUUCAUUAAUACUAAUAUGAUUCUUUUCAAUUUUUAGGAGUUUUGGCUCCUGUGUUGCUCUAUUAUCAUAUUUCUCUUGUAUUAUUUGGGUUUAUAUUUAACAAUUUUUAGGCAUGCCUUUUUUAUGGACUUGAGAAUAGAAAAGAUUAAGAAGUGGGAGUCCCAUGAGGAAAUAAAAGGUUUUCGGGUUCUGUCGUAAUUUGACCUAUAGGAAAUGAAGGAGGUCGUCUCUCUUCUUUCUUUGGUUGAGGGGUGCAGCUUUAGGGAGUUCGUGUUUGGAGUUCUAACCGGAGUCAGUGCUAUAUGUGUAAAUCCUUAUUCAGUCUGUUGUUGGAUCCCUCCCUUAGGGAGUUCGUUUUUGACGUGGUCGGGAGGAUUAAGGUUCCUAAGAAAGUCAAGUUCUAUAUUUGGCAAGUCUUGCUUGGUUGGGUUAACACUGUUAAUAGGCUUGUUAGGAGAACUUCAUUUAUUGGGCCUUUUUGUUGCUUGCUUUGUUGGAAGGCGGAGGAGGACCUUGGAUAUUUGGGGGAGAGGUAUGAUUAAGAGUUUUCUGCCAGAUUUUGGUGUUAGCUAUGCUGGCCAUUGGAGCGUUGGUGCGACGAUUGAGGAGCCUACAUCCACCCUUCAAAGAGAAAGGGAUUUUUAAUGGGUUUCUUGGGUGUGUGCAAUAUGGGAUAUUUGUGGGGGUGGGGUGGGGUGGGGGGGAAUGAUUAGGUGUUACAUAGGGAAAGGGUCCAUACUUUGUAGUGAGGUUUAGUCUUUGGUUAGAUUUCACGUGUCUCUUUGGGCUUUGAUUUUGAAGAUCUUUUGUACCUAUUUCGUUGGUAGCAUUUUACUCAGUUGCCCUUUGUUUAGUUGGGUUGUUUUGGAGGGCUUGUUUUUUUUGUAUGCCCUUGUAUGCUUUCAUUUUUUCUCAAUGGAAGUUGUAUAAAAUAAAAGGUUUUCUAUUCAACAAUUGCAAUGCCAUACUUAACCUCUUUAGUCUAGAGUUAUUUGGUCUCUUGUUCGUUUUCAUGUUUCUUAUUGGGCUUCGAUUUCAAAGGCUUUUUGUAACUAUCCUCUUGACAUGAUUUUGUAUAGUUGUGGUCCUUUCCUGUAGUGGGGGUCUGGGGUCCCCCUUUUUUGUGGGCUUGGUUUUUGUUUGCCCAUGUAUUCUUUCAUUUGUUCUCAAUGAAAUUCAUGGUUUUUAUAAAAAGAAAAAGUCAAGCUGAUGAUGCUUUUAUUUUUUAUGUACGGUUUUGAGUAGCUGGCUUCAUUAGUUAUUCUAGGGCUGCUAAAUGCUACUCUUCUCUUGAUCACUAAUUUUCUGAUGUCUUAUUAUUUGACCCUAGUUUUCUGAAAUAUUUUGCAGUGCAUGGCCAUUAUUAAUCUUGGAGGACAAGUUGGUUCCAUGAUUGCUGAAGGCCCUUGGGUGUUUGUUGGCAUACCUAAUUGUGUGAAGGUGUGGUGGAAUUGAUCUGAUACGAAAUUUUAUGUGAUGCUUUGCUGUUAUGUUGUUAUUUUACAUAAUGGAUGAAGUGUAUGUCUGUAACUGUAACUGUGUUUUAGCCUACUGGAUCUACUUAUUUUGCCUGUUCAGAAUAUCUUUUAAUUCCAAUGUAUGAUGACGUGAACUAACUCAGAGAAUUUUAUGUGAUUUGAAGGCAUGGAACAUUCAGACUUCAGCUGAUCUGAGUCUUAGUGGACCUGUUGGCCUAGUUUAUUCCCUAGUUGUGGGCAAUGAUUUACUCUUUGCUGGUACACAGGUAUUCCCGUAACUUUUGAAUUGUAUCUGUGAGCAUUUUAGCAAUGAGCUUAUCCCCAGAAUAUAACUAUGAUAUAUCAGUCUCUCGUAGUAUCCUGACCAAUGAUUCAACUGUCCUUGACUACCCUUAGUAAUAAUGUUGAUUGACAAGUUUCUUGUUUUUUCUUUUUAUAUGUGGUUUUCCCAUUCAAGGAAUAGAGUAAAUGUGCUUUGAUGCCAUUAAAGCUCGUCUUCAGGAUGGGAACUGUGAAUGAAAAGAAACAGAUCAUUUUAGGGUUCUUUUAUAGAUGACAGUAUCCUUUGGGGAGGGUUAAUGUUGUUUCAUUUAUAUAUAUAUUUACACACACACACAUCUAUACACAUACUUUAUUAUUAUUAUUAUUAUUUUUGCAAAGGAAAUUUCUUCCUUUUGAAAAGCUCCUUGGUUUCUUUGAGGAUGCUAUAAAGUCGUUUCUUAUAGCAAAGGGAGAAAAUCAAUUUAUACUCACGAACUUUGGGGUUGAACCCCAUACCAAAGAUUGUAUUGAAUUCCUUGGUGUCAGUGAUUCAAUGUAGACCCUUUGUGUGAGUGAUUACAACUAUUUUAGUUGAUUUUAUCUAAAAUAAACUAAAUUACUCUUCUUGAGCCAAAAUGAAUAGGUUAACUGGCAUAAUAUUUGUAUCACAAAUCUCUAUAUCAGAUGUUUGAUUACCCCAUCUCACAUAUUAUCUAAAAAAAAAUUAUACUUUCUGAAUCCCACCAAAGUAGUAUAAAUUAGGGAAAAUAUCAAUUUAUUCUCCUCAAUUUUGGGGAUUGUAUCAAUUAAAACUCUAAACUAGUAAUUGUAUCAACUUGAACUAUAAACUUUUAUAUGUGAAUCAAUUUAGACCAUUUGGUAAUGAUUUAUAGCAUUUUUUGCUUGAUUCUAUCUAAUUUUAACUCAAAAUCACUUUUAAAAAUUUGUUAUUUUCCAAAAUUAUGAACUUUAUGGCUUUAUAAUUUUGGUGGCCACGCUUGCUUUGAAGAUUGCAUUUCUUAUUUUCUCAUGCUUCUCAUAUUUGUAUGGAUAUGGUUCUAUUCGGUUCUUUGUACAUCCAUCAAUUUCAGCCGGAUAUUUUGCCAAGUUCAAUCUUAAUUUUUAACUUCUGCACAUAGGACGGGUCCAUAUUGGCAUGGAAAUUCAAUGUGGCAACCAACUGCUUUGAGCCAGCUGCAUCACUCUCUGGCCACACCCUUCCUGUUGUUUCAUUAGUUGUCGGAGCAAAUAGGCUCUAUUCUGGUUCCAUGGACCAUACUAUUAAAGUGAGUUGAGCUCGAGUAUGUGCCAUCUUUUCUUUAGUUGCAGUUUUUCCAUAAUCAAUUCGAUUCUUAUUCUUUUUUUUUAGGUAUGGAGUCUGGAGUCUUUACAAUGUCUACAGACACUGACAGAUCACACAUCAGUUGUAAUGUCUGUACUUUGCUGGGAGCAAUUUCUCUUAUCGUGUUCGCUAGAUAAGACAAUAAAGGUUGAUUUUCUAAUUCAGAAAGGUGGUAGUUUGACACUGUUCACGUUCUGCUAUGACUUGAAAAUUAAGUAAUGGUUCAACUUGUCUUACCCGCAGGUGUGGGCUGCUACAGAAAGUGGAAACUUGGAAGUAACCUACACGCAAAAAGAAGACCAUGUAUGUGUGGUUUUCCGUUUUCUUUGUUAUUAUUACUAUUGGAUAAUACACAACGUUCUUUACUAAAGAAAGUGUAUAAGGGAUGAGAAUAAGUUACGGUCAAAUGCUUUAGUAUUCUGCGGUUGUUGUAUCUGAAAAAGGCUGUCAGGAUUGUCCUCAAGUUCAGAUGCAUCUUCUUGUAAUAUGAUGGUGAUCUAAUUACGAGUGCUAUUUUAGAACUAGUCUUAAGCAUAGGAUCAACUAAUAGUAUAUAUUGCGGAAUUUCAAGUGGCUCCUACUGAAACUUUAUUAUCCUUUUUGGUUCAUCGAAGGGGAAAUAUUUUGCAUUUCAGAAGUUUGGGCUUCCUUAGAGAUUAUAGUUUCUACUGAAUUUAUCUCGGUGUCUGGGACAGCCAUUUGGAUACAGUGGGAUGAUACCCGCAAACAUGUUCAAUUCACUUAUGUGAUGUGAUGGCGAUCUUUUUCAGGGCUUGCUUACUCUCUGUGGGAUGCAUGAUUUAGAUGGGAAGCCUAUUUUGUUAUGUUCGUGCAACGACAACUCUGUUCGCCUUUAUGAUUUGCCAUCGUGAGCAUCUUCACCCAUGUUCACUAUAUUUCUUGUUUUGAUUCUAGGUUCUUGGUAUUCUCUCUCAACGUAUAUCAAAAAUAGCUUUUUGUUAAUCCAUAUCACUUGUGUAUUGUUUGUAAUAGGUUCUCGGAGAGGGGCAAAAUAUAUUCGAAGGAAGAAAUUAGAUCAAUUCAAGCUGGUCCAGGCGGCAUCUUCUUUACCGGUGACGGGACUGGACAAGUGAAAGUAUGGACAUGGUUGACCGAACAAGCAGUGGCAGCAAGCAUGUAACAUGUUAUGAGCUAAACAGUGUAACGUAAUUUGGUCUUCACCAGCUUGAUCUGAUAAGUUUAUACCUUUUUUUUUCCGGGGAGGGGAUGGUUAGUUCUUUUGUAAUGUACAAGUUGAGGGAGUCGAGGUUGAGAAUGCAAUUUUUUAUUUGUUAGGUUUUAAGGGAGAAGCAACAAAGACCAUUUAGAUGAAUUGCUACACAAUGAUCGAAGUGUCUGUAUUCGCUGAGUGGUGAAAAGUUGUAUGUGGCGCAUCAAGAAGAAAUAUAGAGCUGAAUAAGAUCCACAAAUUAUUGCUUCCUAAAGAAAAUAAUUCCGCUAUUCAAUCUGUCCUUUUUGUUAUGUCUUUGGACUGGGGCAUGCCUCGUCAUAUAUCAAGUGAAUGUGGAAAGAAGUUGAAUGUCAUAGCUGCUUUUAACGAUUUGAUGUUUCCAUAAUUGUAUUUAAAUGACAAGAGAUUGAAUAAAUUUCUUACGUUUUGUUAUUUUAAUCUUCAUUUGGAGCAAGAUAAUGUCUUUUUCAGUGCUCAUAUCAUGAGGCACAGCGUAUUCUCUCAAUUCUUUUAAUCUUAUCUUAUGUAGGGUUAGGGCAAAAAUAGGAUUCAAUACUUUUAAUAUUAAUGUUGGCAAAAAAAAAAAAAAAAAAGAGUAGUUUCUUUUUUCAGUAUUUUAAUUUUCUUCUCAUUAGUGUAUUCACAUGUCUUACGUAUAUAAUAAUUCAUGCAAUGUGUACAAAACAAUCUAUAUCCUAUUGACCUAGAAAUAAAUCAUGACAAGAAACCCAAUUGACGUAGAAAUAAAUCAUGAUAUUACUAUGCAUUGUUAUUUUGAAAAUCAUAUCCUUAUUUUACUAUUGAAAAUUUUAGUUUUUGUACAUAGUUGAAUCUCCGAUCAAUAGAAAAACGUGAUGGUUAAUGAUGGAAUGCAAGAAAUCAAAUAUUGGUACGGUGCACAUACAAAUAUAGAGAAGUAGCAUGACUAAAAACUCACACUUAUGUAAAAAGAAGCAAUAGAAUAUCCUUUUACUUUCAAAAUACGAAUAAUGCGUUAUUCAAAUGUAAAGGCAAAGAAGAAGUUUUAAAACAUUUAAUUGCAUUAAAUUAAAUUUUUACUUUUACAUGUGUUUAUUGCAACAAACGUCGUUUCUUAAAAAAAAACUUGUUCUUGCAAUCGGAUCUAUGUACAUAAAGUAGAACAAGUAAAAUCUUUAUUCCAACACAUACAAUUGGGGAUAGAGACAAUAUCAAAACUUUAAUGGGAGGAUAGAGUAGGAGCACAUAAAGACAAGAGUUGUGUGUACUAUUGAUGCCAAUACGAUGAUGUAAUUCUUCAAGAUAAAGACCUUCAAAUUGAUGCAUUCUCAAUACAACAGAUAUAAUUGAUAUUGAAUGAUGUGACAUAAGUUACAAAUUUAGAAGAGAAAGACGUCUUUGAAGAGAAAAUUUUAAAAAAUAAAAUAACAUAGAAGUAAAAUUAAUAAGUUAAAGAUACUAUUUACAACGAGGAAAUUUAAACCAAGAAUCUCAUGUCCUAAGUGACGUGAGGAUGAGAGUUGAGCUAACCUCAUUUUAAGCUUAAUCUAAUUUUUAUAAUAUUUAAUUAUUCAAUUAUAAUUAUAUAAUAAUAAUAUUUAUAUUUUUACUUUCAUUUGGGAAGAAGAAGAGAAAAAGUAUAUUAAAAGGGAAAGGGCCUUCGUUUCCGCUCUGUCUCUGAUCUGUCGCUCUCUCUAUCUCUCUCUCUCUCUUUCUCUUUCUCUCUGUUGCUGUUCCAAAUUUUGAACCUCAACGACGGAUUUUCUCUGUUUCAGGAGCAUUCAAAGCUUUGUUCCUAUACCCAUUUCUUUCCUCUUGAAGCUUUCAUUCUCACACAUUUCUCUGCCUGAACUUCCAAGCUCGUUUUCAUAAUGAACGAUCUUCUUUCGGUAAUUUUCCCCAAAUUCUCUGUCCUUGUAUUGCAUUUUGUUGUUUUGCAGAUGGGUUUCCUUUUUUUUUUUUUUCUCGAUGAUUUUGGAAGUUUUGACUUGUGGGUUUUGUCUUGAAUUUGAUCCAAGCUUUGUUUUGUUUUCCGGAUUUGUUCGAUCCAGUUUGCUUUUUGUUUACAUGAUAAAGGAAUUAGACUUGUUGGUUUAAUUUCACCUGUGGUUGUUUAGUGUAGUUUAGAGCUUGUGGAGUUUAUGGGUGAAUUCAAUUUGGGUAUUCUAGACACUGUUCGAGGGCUUGGCAAAACAUGAUUUUAUCUUUGUCCACCAACUGUCCACCAACUGUCCUCUUAUCUUCCAUUUAUUACCGGUUAUGUAAAGGAGACGAUGGCUACUUAGUCUUUAAUUUCUCUGUUGCUAGAAGUGGUUUGACUUUUGUUGACUCUUUACUUCUCAUUUCAUAAAAAAAAAAUCGUAUUGUGACAGUACACCGAUUUAUUUAGAUGGUUCUGUUAUGAUAAAAAUAAGACGGUUAGGUCAGAACAUAAAAUUGAAAGCUUUUGGACUGAACGAAAGGUUGCAGAAAAUGAUGGAUGUUUUUGGUGUGACAUGAUCCUUUGUGCGGUGUCAAUGUUGCUACCGUUGGUGAUACUGGUAAAGCACACUAUGUGGUCAUCAGGAACGUCAGUACUUUGAUUCUCAAAAGUUUAUCAGAAGUGCUGGUUGAUUUUAGUUUAGAAUUGAGUAAAGGGAACUAUAGAUUCUUCCAUAAGAUACCCAUUUUCAGUUAGGGGCAAGAGCUCAGAAUAGCAUGGACAGACAGAUGGAUGGAUCGUUUAUACCUUGCAUCAUCAUGAAAACUUUUUAUUAUGAACUUGUUUAAUUAUCUUUUCUAUUUCCAACUCUUGGUCUAUUAUCUAGAUUGUGAAUAAUAAGAGAAUGACUGUAGAAAGACUUUGUGGGGAUGAUGAAGGAGAAGAACUGAAUGUUUAGAUUGCUAAUGGUUGCUUCUUGGUUUUAAUUACCAUGAUUUCAGCCUUUUAUUCCCAUCCAAGCUAGAGUGAAGAAACAGGUUGGAGAUACAGAGCUUAGCUCCUUUGAUUGGUGUUUGUGUAAUGGUAGGUAAAGUUCACUGACUUUGGUAGUCAAGGGAAGCUGUUUUUCUUAUAAGAAACAAAUUUCAUUGAUAUAUGAAAUUUACAAAAGAAGGGAAACAUGCCCAAACCAAAGGAGUUACAGAAGACUUCUCCAAUGUAAGCUCAAAGGAGUUAAGAUGCAUGCUUGCACCAAUUUUUUAGGCUGUAAAAUUAAAUGUGUUUUGCAAGGCAGAGUUUUGAAAUGCUGCUUCUUUAGUUUGAGGCCUCAAUUUCUGAAAAAAUCUUCAUGUUAAUAGAGGACUCGGUUGUUUUUAUAAAGUUAUAAGUAGGAAAGUUGCUUAACCGCUAACAAAGAAGAUCUUAGAAUUAAUGACUCAUAGUAAGUCUUUACUAGAUUUUUUCCUUUUAAAUAAGAAACUUUGCAACUGGAAAUAAUAACAAAAUGGGUAGGUCAUUAAGAGUUCCAAUGAGCAGAUAAAUUGUGUAUGCCACCGUGUAUUUAUUUUCUCUCAAAUUUUUUUCAAAGAAAAAAAACGACUGCUUUCGAGGAGAAAGAAUGAAAUUAGCCCAGAAAAGAAUCCUUUAGCGUAAGAGGCUCCAACAUAAAAUAAUGUUGCCCAGCGAAUAAUUACAAAAAGUCUUAAAAAACAAAGGCUCAAAGAGAAACAUGAAACUUCAUCAAAGACUAGAGAUCACUAGAUCCCUUUCCACACCCAUGAACACUGUUAUUUCUCUCCACCCAAAUACCCCAUAAUAGAGUGCACACCCUAGCAAGGCAUAAGAAGCACCCUUUCCAAAACAAAGACAAAUUGAGGAGGAACUCCCUGAUUGAGUUUAUAGCACUACCCCAACGAGCAUGGACUUGUGAAAGAAGCGGUUCUAUACUUAUCUUAGAUUCUUAAGAAUUCACAACUCUAGAGAAGGUGACCAAUUCUUUCUUCCGCUUUCAACAAAGAAUACAAAAGAAAGGUCCCAGCAACUAAAGUGACAUACUCGUGAGCCGAUCCAAGGUGUUCACACGGCCAUGAGGAUGGCUUUGGCAAGUAAGACAUGUCAAACAAAGAACCUGUCAAGGUAUUGUUAGAAGUUGGGAACUUGAUGGCUGAUAAUAAGAUGAAAUUAGCUGAAUGGCUUUGGCAUUUUCCCUUUGAAUCCAACUCUCUGUGGGAUAGAAUCAUUGGUAGCAAAUUUGGUCCUCAUUCUAUUGAGUGGCCGUUAAGUAGGGUUCUUGGUGCUAUUUGGAACUUGUGGAAGGCAAUUUCUAAGGAGUUUCCUUCGUUUGCUCAUUUGGUUCAUUGUGUGGUAGGUGAGGGUAUGGGUAUAUGCUUUUAGUAAGAUCAAUGGUGGGGGAUAGACCCUUUGCUCUUUAUUUCCCCGUCUUUAUGAGUUUGUUGUUUGGUUAGGAAGCUCUUGUUCUAUCUCUAUUGAGCAUUGUUGAUCUUUAUCUGAUAAGGAAGUGAUGGACAUGUCCUCUCUUUUAUCGUUGGUCAAAGGCCAAACCCUUUGGAGGGAUUCUUGUUUAAUUUCUUGUUUCGUCAUCUGAUUAUUUAAUAGACACUAUUUUGUAUAGACUAUAGUUGGGAGUCUCUUUAGUGGGACUCUCUCUUUUCUCUUGCUAUAGUUGACUUAUGCUCUUGUAUUCUUUCAUUUUUUUUCUCAAUGGAAGUCCUUUAUUCUUAAAAAAAAAAAGAAAAGAGAAGAUAUUUGUGACUUCUUUGUGAAUUAUGCGUACAACCAUAAUCUAUAAAAAAUGAUACACCAUACAAAUUUUGUGGUGGGAUGAUGCGUCUUUUUUAUGAAAAUUUGGGUGUUCAGUUAUAGGGUUACUAUCUUAAAAAUCCUUGGAAUUCAAUGAUGAUUCCCUAUAACAAUUAAAAAGACUCUUAGACCCUAUGCAGGAAAUCUUUCAAAGGAAAGGAAAAAUUUAUUUGGUAUGCAAUACAUUAAGGCCCUUUUUAGGAAUCCUGGCUUCAAGGAAUCUAACUUUUCCUAGAUGCGGACACAAAUUAUUUUGUGAAAGGGGGUAUUAGCCUAGCUUCAAAAUGGAGUCUUUUUGUAGAACUUUUUGCAAUUAUGCUUUGGUAGAUUUGGGUGGCAAUUGUAGUGUGUUUAUUGUUAAAAUGUUGACCUAAUUAAAUUUAAUAUAUCCUAGCAGGUUAAGAUUUUGGGCAAAUCAAUUAUUUAAGAUGGUAUUAGAGAUGGAGGUUCUUGUGUUCAUACCUAUAAUGUCAUUUCCUCCCUAAUUAAUAUUGGCUUCCACUUGUCAGCCUACAAGUGAGGGAGGUGUUGAAGUGUUGAUAUAAUUAAGUCUCUACUAUAACUCAUCGACUUAAGCUUUUGGGUGAAUUGGUUAUUGAACAUUUAUUAUAUAAACCUCCUUGGGUGUUUGAGGAUGCCUUAUUCUCUUUCCUAAAAAAUGAAGGACAUUUUUUUCUAAAACAAAGGAGAGCCAUAAUCAUGGUAAAUGGUAGUAAAAGCCGUUUGGACUUUUCUUAGUGGUAUGAAGAUUUGUUUGUGGGUUCCUUUUGAAGGUUGUGGUUGAUUGUGGAGGAUUUUUUUCAUAGUAUAAUUUUUGUUUGCAAGCUCUCUAUUCUUUUGGGCAAAUAUAUUGAAAAGGCCUUUGUUCUGGGUUAAUGUUUAUAUACAUGGCUAUUUUUCUUUAUAGGUAUACUUGCUGUUAUGCAUUUUACCCUUUUCUUUUUCACUCCCUUUUGGAGUUGGAGUUUGGAUCUCUGAAUUUUUCUCCUUUUCAUUAUAACAAUGAGAAGUUUUUUCUUUUUUAAUAAUCUUUCUGAAGCUAUAAAAAUAGCAGGCCUUUUUUAUUUAUUUUUUAAAUAAUUGUAACAAGUGGGUGGUUUGAAACAAAGAGGAAUUGUUCUCUUUCAGGCUUGAGAUUGGUCUUUGACUUACCUUAUUUUGGUUUUCCAUAUCCAUCUAGUUUUCUCUAAAUCGAUGAAAAUUGUUACUCAUUUCUGUCUGUCUGUGUGUGUGGGGUGGGGUGGGUAAUCUAGAGAUGGGUAGUAGGACGUAGCUACAUGUUUAGUUUCUACUGUAUGCUUUUCGAGGGUUUUGGCUCUUAUAAUUUUUUUUUCUGUUUUUGCAUAUUGGAGCCCUUUCUUGUUAGCUUCAUUGGUUUCUGAUGCAUUCUUAUCUACCCUCUUCUGUGAUUUACUUUUUGUUUGAAAUAAUGUAAGUUUCCUAUAAAAAACAGCAUAAAGAGAGAAAGAGAAGCAAAGAACUAUUCUAAUUGAAAGCAUGCAUUUGUGCUGAAUCAAUUAUGGGAAAGUUUAAUAUGAAAUGGAAGUUAACUUAAGACUUGGUUAUGUUUUGGGCUUCACUGUGGAAUUUUUAUUAUGCCAUGAUAUUUUAUCCUUCACUAAUGCUUUAGCAUUAAUUUCAUUUUAGGAUGUAUUUGCUUUUUCAUCCAUACGUGCCUUAUUUUAGUUUUGGGAGAUUUUCGAAUUAAUUUCUAAAUGACUAAUAUACAAGAAGAUAUAAUACAAGAAAAUUCAAACAAGGAAAUUAGCUAAUAAAUCCAAACGAAAUAGAGAUAAAAUAUUUUACAAAAGAAGAGUUAAUCUACACUUUCAUUAACGGAACUUGAUAUUGUUUUGAAGGAUUCCUUUGAGAUCCGUCGGGGUCAACCUUCUGGAGGAAGAGACAUUGAGCUAGGAGCAAAUGCGCCUACUAGUGCAGGGGAUCAGGGCAUGGGGGAUUUCUUCAAAAAGGUAUUUGAAUAAUAUUUUUUAACUCUUAUGGUCGAGCAAGUGGAGAAUUUGAUGUUGCUACAUAAGAGUGUUUUCAAUAACUCAGCUCGAGGGUGCAUUAUAGUUGUGUUCUUUCAUCUUAUCCAGGUCCAAGAGAUUGAAAAACAGAAUGAGAAGCUGGAUAGGCUAUUGAGAAAGCUCCAGGUAUAAAUGUCUAUUAUUCUACCUUUUGGUGAUAUCUGUAUUUUGAAUGCAGCUCACUGGAAUCCUGGAUAAUUGUCGUUUUUAGUUGAUCGGGAAAAGAUUGAAUCCCCACGGAAGUGAUUGAUUGCCUAUUGCUUUCAAUUUUUUUUUUUUGAAAAAACCAAUACACAGAAUACAGAACAUUCAUAAUGCUGUAAAUUUAGGCUAAGCACCUAAAUAGAACUGCAGAUAAACUUUACCUUUGAAGAGCCAUUCUUCAAGUUUUUCUCUAGGUUUCUAGUAGGGGGCUAUCUUUAGCCUGGCCCCUGGGCUGUAUUUUUUCCUUCUUGAAUAUAUCCCUUUUGUCGUUUCCUAUAAGAAAAGAGAAGUUGUAGGAGGAGGAAGGCAGAGAAUUCUAUAGAUAAUUUUAGGUUUGAGUUAGUAUACUCAAUAGUGGGGAGGUUCUACUACGAAUACUUGGGUUAUCUUGCAGUAUAUUAUUCUAGUUCUGUUUUGGUUCUAAUCAGAUCCUCAGGAUCUUUUAAGUGUAUCACCCAUCUGUGAGAGAAUCAGAACUGUUGGGGCUUCUAGUUGGAGGGUUGGUUUUGGCGUUUAAUGCAAUUCAAACUUUCUGGGAUUGAAUUUCAUGUGACAUUUGAUUUAUUUAUUGAAAGGAGAGACAAAGAGCACACACCAAUUUGUGUGGAAACCCGAGUAUUGGGAGAAAAACCACGAUUGUUUGUCGUUAUUAUUUUCUAAUGAAUAAUACAAUAGGUACAAAGGAGAAUAAAUAGAGAAUACAAGGGAAUAAAAAAGGAAAAUAUUUAGGAAAUAAGGAAAAUAUUCCCAUAAUCUUUUCAUAAACAUUCUAGGAUUCUAACAAGGAAAAUAUUUAGAAAAUAAGGAAAGGAUUCCAACACUCCCCCUCAAGCUGGGACGUAAUAUCAAUGAGACCUAACUUGCUAACACAAAAAUGGAAGUUUUGGUCUGAGAAGCCCCUUGGUAAGAACAUCAGCAACUUGUUGACCCAAAGGGAUGUACGAAAUGCAUAUGCUCCCAUUUUCAAGUCUUUCUUUGAUGAAAUGUCGAUCAAUCUCAACAUGUUUAGUUCUAUCAUGUUGAACAUGGUUGUUAGCAAUACUAAUAGCAGUUUUAUUAUCACAUAAAAGCUUCAAUGGUGUCUCACAUUCUCGAUGAAGAUCGGACAGGACUUUCUGAAGCCAAAUUUCCUCACACAUUCCCAAACUCAUAGCUCUGAAUUCGGCCUCAGCGCUGUUCCUGACCACAACACUUUGCUUCUUACUCUCCAAGUUAUCAGAUUGCCCCAAACAAAGGUACAAUAACUUGAUGUAGACUUUUUAUCAACAACAGAUCCUGCCCAAUCCAAGUCAGUAUAUGCCUCAAUGGUCUUUCUGUCUGUUUUUCUAAACAUCGGCCCUUUACCAGGUGUUGUUUUUAAAUAUCUCAAAAUUUGGUUGACAACUUUCAUGUGUUCCUCAUAAGGAGCUUGCAUAAACUGGCUGACAACACUCACAACAAAGGAAAUAUCAGGACGAGUAUGGGAUAAGUAAAUUAAUUUACCCACAAGGCGCUGAUAUCGUUCUUUAUCAACUGAAACUUGAUCAUCAGAGUUUCCUAGUUUACAGUUGAAUUCCAUAGGAGUGUCAGCGGGACGACAUCCCAGCAUACCUGUCUUGGUUAGCAAAUUAAGGGUGUAUUUUCUUUGAGACAUGGAGAUACCUUCUUUAGAUCUGGCCACCUCCAUUCCAAGGAAAUAUUUCAGAUUUUUCAGAUCCUUGAUUUCAAAUUCAUCACCCAUUCUUUGUUUUAGUUGACUGAUUUUUGUCUGAUCAUCUCUAGUCAAAACAAUGUCAUCCACGUAAACUAUUAGAACAACAAUCUUCCUUGUCUUGGAAACCUUUGUAAAUAAAGUAUGAUCAGAGUGUCUCUGACUAUACCCUUGGGACUUGACAAAGGUAGUAAAUCUAUCAAACCAUGCUCUGGAAGAUUGUUUCAGACCAUAUAGGGAUUUCUGGAGUUUACACACUUGUUGACCAAACUGGGCUUCAAAUCCAGGCAGGGGGCUCAUGUAGACUUCCUCCACAAGGUCUCUAUUCAAAAAGACAUUCUUAACAUCUAGUUGGUAUAGAGGCCAAUCUUUGUUCACAACAACAGAUAACAGAACUCUAACAGUAUUCAACUUAGCAACCGGAGAAAAAGUUUCUGAAUAGUCAAUACCAUAGGUUUGAGUAAAUCCCUUUGCAAUUAACCUUGCUUUGUGUCUGUCAACUGUUUCAUCUGCUUUGUAUUUGAGAGUGAACACCCAUUUGCAUCCCACAGGCUUCUGUCCCUUUGGUGGAACACAAAUCUUCCAAGUGUUAUUCUUUUCGAGAGCUUUCAUUUCUUCCAUGACAACAUUCUUCCAUUCAGGACAUUCUAAUGCAGUGUGAAUAUUUUUCGGUAUUGUGGUAGAGUUAAGGCUGGCAGUAAAAGCUCUGAACUGUGGUGAGAGAUUCUUGUAUGACACAUAAUUACAUAUGGAGUGCUUUGUGUAGGACCUUGUACCUUUCCUCCGUGCAAUAGGAAGAUCAAGAGAUGAAUCAUAUCUGCUACUAUUUUCAGUAUGUUCAGCAACAACCUCGUUUUCAAUAAUUCUGUCCUCUCUGUCUAUAAUGGCCUCAUCAAUACUGCCCUGCUCACCCAUAUCUUCCAGAAUAGUUGUCUCAGACCUGUCAUUCUCACAUGUUCUGUUAUUAAUUGAAUCAAUCAUACAUUGAUCUCUUAUUGGUUCAGAAUCUUGCACUGGAGCCGUGUGAACAACAUGAGACUCAACUUCCUUUCUGAGAUUUCUCCUAUAGUAAGUUUUCCAAGGAACUUGAUUUGUUGGUAAGACUGUACUAUGAGGGCUAUGGUCAAGUAAGGUAACCAUAGUAGGAUAAGAAGACUCUACGGGAAGUAUAUAGUUAGACUCUUCACUCACAUUCUCCCCCUGAAGUAGACUAACGAGAAAAAAAGGACGAUCUUCAGUAAAGGUGACGUCCAUGGUAACAAAGUACGUGAAGAAGGAUGAAAACAUUUAUAGCCUCGUUGGUGUAGAGGAUAUUCAACAAACACGCAAGCCUGAGCCCUAGGAGUAAAUUUAGUUUGGUUAGGACCAUGGCUAUGGACAUAGGCAGUGCAACUGAACACCCGAAGGGAACAUCAGGGAUGAGACGAGUGAAGGGAUAGGAUUCUUUGAGGCAAUUUAACGGUGUCUGGAAGUGAAGGACACGAGAAGGCAUGCGGUUUAUGAGAUGAGCUGCAGUAAGAAUGACAUCACCCCAAAGAUAGGAAGGAAGAGAAGUGGACAACAUAAGGGAACGAGCAACUUUCAAAAGGUGACGAUUUUUUCGUUCGACAACCCCAUUUUGUUGGGGGGUGUAAGCACAUGAACUUUGGUGAACAAUUCCUUUAGAGGACAAGAACUCGUUAAGAGAGUGGUUUUGAAACUCACGACCAUUAUCACUUCGCAGAAUUGCAAUCUUUGAAUUGAAUUGCGUUUCUAUGGUGUUAUAGAAGUCUCAGAAUGUGGAGGUAGCUUCAGAUUUGUCGGAGAUCAGGAAAAACCCAAGUAAGACGAGUAUGGUCAUCAAUAAAGCUCACAAACCAUCGUUUCCCAGAGGAGGUAGUGACCUUGGAUGGUCCCCAAACAUAACUAUGGACAAGAGUAAAAGGUUGAGUUGGCUUAUAGGGUUGCGAAGGAAAUGAGACUCGGUGAUGUUUAGCUUUUAUGCAUAUAUCACAAGAUAAGGAAGAAACAUCAACUUUGAAGAAAAGAUGAGGAAAUAGGUAUUUCAUAUAUUUAAAGUUGGGAUGACCUAAACGGAAAUGCCACACUAUAGGGUCUUUUUCAGAGGUUGUAAAGUAGGAUGAUAAAAGACUGGUCCUAGAAAUACUACUAGAGGGGGCAUCAUCAUCAAGUAAGUAAAGACCCCUAUUGUGUUGGACAAUGCCAAUCAUCUUCCCCGAGCUCAAGUCUUGAAAAGAAACAGAAUCAGGUAAGAAUAUUACUUUGCAGUUUAGUUCACGAGUAAUCUUACUAAUCGACAAAAGAUUAUAUGAAAUUCGUGGCACAUGCAACACAUUGUGUAAUGAGAACUCGUCAAAAAGAGAAAUCUUCCCUUUCCCGGCAAUGGGAGCUAAGGAGCCGUCAACAAUUUUUAUCUUCUUAUUUCCAGCACACAUAAUGUAAGACACAAAGUGUUCAGAGGAACCGGUUAAAUGAUCAGUGGCACCUGAGUCCAAGAUCCAAAGAUUCUUUCCAUCAAUACUAAUGAGACUAAAGGACUGAGGUAUACCUGACUGGACAAUAGCUCCAAGUGUGGUAGGACUAGCAUUCUUACUCACAUGGAAGAAGAUAAAAUAGGGAAUGAGGAUACCAGAUUCUUAGAAUACAUCGGUACAGGAGUGUUGGAUGUCGUCCCUAGGGUAGCCUCAAUUGCUGCAAUCUGUUGUUGCAGCCCUUCCAGUUGUUGCUGAGUUAUUCUUGAUGAGGAAGCUUACACGAUAGGGUUGGAAUGUGCCGAAAAUUCACCAACCUCAAAUGUUGAGUGAAUUUGGGGAUUCUUAUCAUCAGGGUAAUAAAUGAGGUUAUUGGGUGGCAUGACAUACAAAUUUGAUUGCAGAAGUGGUGAUCGCCGGUUGGAAUUAGGUGGUAGAACACGAAUUGGCACGUGGGGAACACUACAGGCAGCAGAUGAAGAACGAGGGUGGCACGGUUGGGUUGGCCGGCAGCGUCUGAACACAAUGGACCGGCGCGUGGGAUGCGUGUGGCGGCGCGUGGGCGGGUUCUGGCUGUGCGGACAAUGAGAAUAUUUGCCGAAUUAUGUUUCCCGCAUUUUCUGAAGGCGGCGGAACCAUUCGUCCAUGAUAGCAUUGAUCUGAGCAUUUACAACGGCGGUGACGACGACACUAAAACUGGUGGCUGUUUCCUUUGUGUGAUUUCCAUCACUGGUUGUGUUUUCUAGGGUGUGUUCAAUGUCUUGCUAUGAUACCAUAUUGAAAGGAGAGACAAAAAGCACACACCAAUUUACGUGAAAACCCGAGUACCGGAAGAAAAACCACGAUUGUUUGUCGUUAUUAGGUACAAGGGAGAAUAAAUAGAGAAUACAAGGGAAUAAAAAAGGAAAAGAUUUAGGAAAUAAGGAAAAUAUUCCCAUAAUCUUUCCUUAAACAUUCUAGGAUUCUAACAAGGAACAUAUUUAGAAAAUAAGGAAAGGAUUCCAAGAAUUUUUUAAUAACCUCAAUAGUGGGCAUACUCAAGUAUUUGUUUUGAACACUUCUCUCUCCCUUGUAUGCGGUGGGGGAGGGACAUUAUUUAUACAUAAUCCUGUCCUGUUUAUACAAUAAUGGAAUAUUUUGAGGAUAUUAUGUUGCUACUCAAUGCGAUCUAUGAAGAGAGCCUUGAGUUGUAAGUUUUCUAGAAUAUAAAGUUUAUUUUCAAGUUGCAAGAAACCUUGGUGUAAGAAUAGGUGAAAAACGUAAUGUUUUCGUUAUUAAGUAUUCAUCAUAAUGUUGUGAUUUCUCUUUUUUGGCCUGUUGUCCCAAACUUGGUUCUAGGAUUCACAUGAGGAGUCCAAAGCUGUGACCAAAGCUCCAGCAAUGAAAGGUAAUCUUUAUAACCACACAUAAUUUUUGUAUCCUACUUUUUCCUUAAAACUUAUGUUUGUUUGAGAUCUCUGGAAAUUUAUUUGCACAGCCUCGUUUUUGGUUUCUAUUGCAUAUACUCUAUGGUCUCACAAAUGUAGUUCAUAGAACUAAUGAACUAUCCAAUAAUAUGUGGUGGAUGAACAAAGUGAAAUGGAAAUUAAGGUGUAGUGAAAUGACAGAUGAAAUUUUACCAACACACAAAGCUUUAUCUCCUAACACACUGUGCCCAAGCAUAAGUAGAUGCAUGAGCAAAUAAUACUGGGUUUGUAUUUGAGGGUUGGUUCUUUGGGGAAAAUUUCUUUCCCUUAGAUGUGUUGAAGAAAGAAACCAUACAAUGCUCACACAGGGCAAGUAGGUAACCAAAUAACCUUCUUGCAACCAAAAACGGGUAACCCACUAUAAGGAUGUUGUUGGAAAGAGCAGUAGCCCAACAAAAAACCUCCAAAAUGAGAUUCCAACAUUGUUGAGCAAAAGGACAAUGAAUAAUAAUGUGGGCCGGGGACUCAGCAUUAACAUAACACAUAAUACACCAAGAUGGUCAAUGAGACAUAUAAGGCAUACGACUUUGGAGAUGAUCAGUAGUGUUAAUUGGUUUAUGGGUAAGCUCCUAGAGAAAAAGAAUAAUUUUCUUCGGGAAAUGAUCCAUCCAAAUAACUAAAUAAAAAUCCCAAUCAAAAGACUCGAGAGCACCUGUCAAGUCAUCCAUAAUAGAUUUUAUAGUAAAAGUAGAUGAGGAGUCCAUAGCCCAUCUCCAAAAAUUAGGCACCAUACAAAAUCUGACAUUGGACAAAAUUGUAGACAGAAAGGCCCAUUCCUGAAUUUUAGGGUCAGUAAAACGGUGACGAAAGUGCAAGUCCCAAGUCUUAGAAUCAGCAAGCCACGCUUCAACAACAAAAAUAUCAGGAGUACAAUAGAGAUGGAACAAAUGAGGGAAAAUCACAAAGAGCGUACCACAAUCAUGCCAACGAUCUUUCCAAAAAGAGAUAGUGUCACUAGUACCAAGACAAUGUUGAGUCAAAGAAACAACUAAGUUAGUAGUAUGGCAGUCGCUCCAUGGAGACUUUGAUGACCUUCUAGCAGUAGUUGGCCAAACACAAGAGGGAUGGUAGUACUUAGCCACAUUUAGCUUACGCCACAGCAUCAUGCUCGUGUCAAAACCUCUGGAUCCAUUUAGCCAAAAGGGCAUAAUUUCGAUGGCGGAAAUUACCAAUACCGCUUAGGGUGCUGUGUAGUAAUCCAAUUAACAUUAUGCAUACCAUUUUCAAGAACCAUCCCAAAGAAAGUCACGAAUCAGUUUUUCCAACCAAAUAACAUCAUUAGGUGCAAGAAAAAGUGUAUGACGACCACCCUUGGAGAUAUAGGCAUGUUUCCAGUUAUGAAGCUUAUGAUUUCUCAAUAAUUGGUUGCCAAAAAUCAUCGAUUUAGAAUUACCACCAAGGGGAAGACCAAGAUAAGAGGCUGGCCAAUGACCCCUUUUACACCCAAAAGCAGACACCAUCCAAUGCAGAUCAUCAUCAGAAAUAUGAAUACCAAGAAUCUCACUAUUAGAGAGGUUUAUAGAUAAGCUAGAAGCUUGUUCGAAAACAUGAGUAACCUCAAAUAAAUGUGUAAGUGCAGCACGAUCAGCAGUGGAAAAGAGCAAGCUGUAGUCGGCAAUUUGCAAGUGAUUCAGAAAAAAACUAGAAGCACCAAUAUGUUGAGUGGCAAUCAAGUUUUUAGAUAUACUAUGGUCCAACAGACGACUUAAGCAAUCAACAACCAAUAUAAAAAGAAAAGGAGAAAGCAGAUCAUCUUGUCUGAUACCACCAUGGGUGGGGAUAAUCUUACCACCAGGUCUACCAUUGAUAAUGAUAGAAAAGUUUGCACUAGAGAUGUAACCUUGAAUCCACUUACGCCAAACCCUUCCAAAGCCUUUAGCCUGAAGAAUGGCAUCCAAAAUGUCCCAAUCAACUGUAUCAAAUGCCUUUUCAAGAUCAAGUUUAAUAUAAACACACCCUUCUUUUGUUCAUGAAACCAAUCAUCAACCAUUUCCUUUGCCAUAAGGGAUGCAUCCAGAAUCUGUCUAUUCUCAACAAAAGUAAGUUGGUUCAAAGCAAUGGUGGAAGGAAGAACCUGCUUCAAAUGUUUCGAUAAUACCCAAGCAAUAAAUCUUCUAAGCACAAGGAAUGAGGCUAAUCGUCUGGUAAUCAGAGACCUGUCUUUGCAUCCAUUUUCUUGGGGAUGAGAGUCAUGAGACAUAUAUAGGUUUCAUUUAGGGAGGCAUUGAUAAUUCCAGAAUCAAAGAAAUCAUGGAUCAUAGUCAUAGUAUCACCUUUUAAAGUAGGCCAGAAAAAUUUGAAAAAUUCAGCAGUAAAACCAUCUGGACUGGGAGAAUUAUUAGCCAAGAGAAGAAAUAGCCAAGAAAACCUCCUCGUCCGAAAAUGGACGUUCAAGAUCAGCAGCAAUAACAGUCGAUAUUGGACUCCAAUUCACAUUUGUGGGAAGGAACCACGAACCACCCUUCUUAGUAAAGAGUUCUGUGUAAAAAUUGCAAAAUUCAGAUUCAGUACUGUCAAUAUGCAAAAGGCUCUAACCUUUUCUAGAGAGGAUUUCAGUUAUCGAACUCUUCCUUUUUCAGGCAGCAACCAUACAAUGAAAAGAAUGUGUAUUUUCAUCCCCAAUCCAUGAACCAUUUAAGUUUACAACGUUGCCGCCAUUGGAUGUGCUCUUGAGCUGUUAAUUGUUCGAUUUGUUCUCUCAAUGAACGACUUGUAGAUAGUUGUUCUUCAGAAAGUUGUGUCCCGUUGCUGAUGUUGUUCAACUAUCAAGCUGUCAAGAAACUUUAUGUACUGUUUUUCGACCUAUGGUUGUGGAUUGUGCAUGUUGAGAUCACUACCAUGGGUAUUGACUAAAAAUGCUAAAAAACUUCAUUCUGUUUUCAUGGAUAUAUGGGUGCACGUCAUUCUAUCAAAGUUCUUUAUCAUUUAGGGAAAUUAAUAUAAUUUGGUUUCAUUUUCAAAGGUUAAUAUUAUCUGAUUCUUUUGGCUAAAGAUUUUCCCUCCUUUAAUCUAAUUUUUAGUUUAUGCUUAGGGGCUGCAUGGUUAGGUUAUGCAUUAUAUUGGUAGUUUCUAGAGAUUCCAUAUUCAUCAAAGUUACUAAUGUGCCUUGUACUCCAGCGAUCAAGCAGCGGAUGGAAAAAGAUGUCGAUGAGGUUGGGAAAGUCGCACGUUAUGUGAAGACUAAAGUUGAAGAACUCGACAGAGAGGUAAGUCCUUUUUCUGCAUCGACUUGAUAUUGAAUGUUCCAACAAUCUAUUGCCACACUUUUGUUUCUAGUAGUAGUAAGUUCUAAUAUGCCAUGUUUUUAAGAAAGGAUUGUUGAGGCACCCUUACUCCCAUAUUUAUCAUUUUUGGGGUGUUGGUGUUACAGAAUCUGUCAAAUAGGCAGAAGCUCGGGUGUGGAAAAGGAUCAGGUGUAGAUAGAUCAAGAACAGCAACUACUCUGUAUGUUGCAUUCCAGCUUUUUUGAAUCAUAUAGCUUCUUUCUUUUUAUGAUUGUUCCCACGUUAAUUGAAAACUGUUUCAUAAUUAAUGAGAUAAAUACAAGCCACUGUGUUUAUGAUGCGUCUGUUUUUACUAUUACCAUAUGGGCCAACUUUUUUAAGUAAGAUAAAAGUUAAAACAUUGUGCCUUCAACUGCUAAAUAGGAAUAUUGUAGGCUCUCUUUGAUAAUCAUUUGGUUUUCACCUUUGGUUUUAAUUUUUAAAAUUAAGACUAUAUACACUACUCCUACCCUAUGGAGCACAGACCCUUUGUUUUUUACCAAGUGUAUUGUAUGUGUUAGAAAUGUGUUUUGGCACGAAUAGUCUGGACAUGUUUCAGACACAUGUCUGCAAGCUAAACAGUCUGAUGAAUAUAUUAUUUUUCUUUUCUAAUUUCAAACAAAACUUGGAGAUGACUUGUAGAUCGCUCCAGAAAAUAUUUAACUAAAAAAUUAGGGAAAAAGUUUGUGAUUCUUAUAAUUGAAUCCUAAUAUAUUGAUCAAUCUUCGACUAUUAGGACAUCUUCAUCCUCUAGUCAUAUCCAACUAAAACUUUUUAUCUCUGUUAGGGAUUGUUUGGCUCACCAAAUUCUUGAGUUGGUGUUAAAUAACUGAAUUCCAUCAACUUCAAUAGUGUUGAUUAUUGCAGUUUGCUCAAUUUAUCGAAGAACUUCAUCUUACCUUCUCUCUCUCAUUUUCAUAUUUAUCAAGGAACUCCAACUAACAACUCUACACUGUAAACAGACUUCCUAACUCCAGACUUUUGAACUCAACUCAGCACCCAAAAAUCCCAUUAAUAUUUCUCUGUUUUUAUGAUAAAUUUACAUGUUUUAUCUAUGUAAAAAGGUCAGUUCCCUCUCCUCUCUCCUCUCUCCUCUCUCCUCCCUCCACCAUUCUCCCCGGAUUAGCUAGGCCUCUUCGACGAGCCCCUCAACAUGGAAAUUGCUAGCUGCAAAGUUAACCAAUCUCGCUAUUGUGUUUGGAAAGAGAAAGAAAACUUUAUUAUUGAAGAUGUGGAAGCUAGCAAAUUCAUAUCAAUCUUCGAAGCUCAACUUUGAUGGACUUUGCACACUAUUUCAGAUUUCCUCAAUAAUCCAGGAGACCGCUUCUUCACGAAAGAUGGUGAAGUUGACGGAGGGCAAAUGAAGAUCUUCAAGUUCCAAGCCAACUCAAGGUGGAUCCUCAACUGUGACAUUUGGUCUUAUUCAGGCGGUUACUCUAUCCUUAGAAUCUGCUCAGGAGUUAAUAUGCAAGGUUGGUCCUCCUUCUGUAGAAUGCUGAAAAAGUAUGUAGACAUAGUUGAUUAUCCUGUUGGUUCUCAGACAUUUCUAUUAAAGACCCCUUCCAGCCUUCGGUGGAAAAGCAAAGUUAUGCUACGGUCAAAUCCAAAAUCUCCAACCAAUCAGUACCUAGGUCUGGAAAAAUGGUACCACGGCUGACUUUCAACCAUAAAGGUCCUUCACCGGUCUCAGUUCGCCAUUCCCCAUCAAUCCAAAAACCAAGUUAAGUGAAAUCCAUGAAGUGGCCAAGCUUAACUUUGAUAACCUCUGGAUUAUCUCAAAACUUUUUGCUUCUGAUGAUUGGAGAUCGAUCCACAAAUUUCUUGAAUCGAAAUUCCAAACCAGCAUUGUUAUUAACCCCCUAUAUGAUGAAAAUACCCUUAUCAGUAUUGAUCAGGUCUCCCUGAGUGACCUCAUUGGUAAAGUAGGUAAAUGGCAAGCAUAGGGUAAUUUUCACCUAAAACUUGAAAAAUGGGACAACUCGAAACAUAGUAGGCCACUAGUGUUGAAAGACUAUGGAGGUUGGCUUAAAGUUAAGAACCCUCCCCUUGAUUUCUGGUGUAGAAGUAUUUUCGAAGCAGUUGGAGACCAUUUUGGAGGUCUCACAGAAAUAGCCAUUGAAACCCUCAAUUUUACCAAUUGUAAUGAAGCUCAUAUUAAGGUCAAGAAGAACCAGUGUGGCUUUGUUCCCUCAACGAUUGAAAUUUCAAACCAAAAGAGGGGAAACAUAUUUUUACAUUUUGGAGACUUUGAGUUUCUAAGCCCUCCUUUUUUAUGUGCAAGACGUUUACAGUAAUUCCAUAGACUGGUUGAGGGUAAGAGAAGCAUUGCUUGAUGAGGGGUGUGAUAUUUCCUCCUUCCCACAAUUACUUAAUGUACCAAGAUCGGUUUUGCAACCUUACCAAGAUGUAGAAACCCUUUUCAAUCUCUGCAACAUUUUCCGGCCACCUCUCUGACCCCGGAGAAGAUGAAAGGUUCUGUUACAUAGGUGGCAGCCAACUCCAUUGGGCAGGAACCUGAACAGUCUCCACUUUUAAUUAAUGAAACUUCUAUUGGACACAACUGUAUCAAAAAGAAAAGGGUAAUUUGACAGCUACCCUUUAAUUUGACAGCUGUAAACAUAAGUAGAGAGAGAAAAAAGGGUAAAUUCCCUUUAAUUACUAUCAUGCAUAAUUAUAAAAUUUUAAAAGUAAUUAAAGAUAACGGUUUUCCCUCCAACCAACGGCAAUUUCCUAAUCUGACCUCCACAGAUCCUUCUCCUUAAGUAUAUGGUUUCUGUAACAAGACUAAAUCUUCACAAGGUGACAAAUCUCUACGAGUACAAGCUCCGAAAAUUCUGAAGUACUAUUCUCGGAAGCAUACUUUUAAUAAUUUAUGGAUCGCCUUAUUGAAGUCUGAGUUGAAUGGAUGUAACAUCAAAAUACCAUUUUCAGCCCCCUCUCGGAAGCAUAGUUCACAACCUUCUAUUUCAGCAAAAAAUCCAGACCUUUUGGAGGUUUGCAGCUCCAAAAUCUAGACUUCUAAUUGCCUUUUCAGGUCAGUAAACUCAGGCUCUCCUACCAAGCAUUUCAAAUACUUAAAACUCCCCAAUUUUAACUCUAAAGUUAAUUUGUUGCCAGGCUUCCCUUGUCGUGCUGCCAUUGACAAACUGACCCUCAAGACCUUGGAGUCUCCAUUUAGUUUCUGUAGUGAGGAAUCCUUGGGAUUUCACAAUGGUUUUGAUUUCAAGAGUAAUGAGGAAAUUGAAGGGGCUGACCUCUCUUCCCUAUUUGAUGGAGCCAAUGUUGUUCCCAUCAAAUUUCCCUCGGAAUUGCCUAAGGAUCUGCUACCCUUAGUCAAUAUUGUGGCAUCAUUUUAGUUUAGGGGUUUAAAUGACAUCAAAAAAAGAGCAGGCUUGAAGAAAUUGAUAAAAAAUCAUAAUCCAGAUAUCGUCUUGAUACAAGAAUAAAAAAUGAAAGUCGUCAAUUCUGUACUUAUAAAAUCAAUAUGGAGUUCUAGAGACAUCGGCUGGGAAUUCGUGGAAUCAAUAGGUGCCUCCGGAGGAAUAUUGACAAUGUGGGACAAUAGUUUAAUUUCAGUAUUUGAGCAAGGCAGAUUCUCUGUUAAUUCUCUCUCAGCCUACUUAAUCUCUGCCUCCCCAAUGGAUAAAAAACUCUUUAAAGCCCUAUGGAAAUCAUGCUGCCUCGGAGAUUGAACAUCUUGAUGUGGACCAUGCUUUACGGGUCCCUAAAUUGUGCAGAAAUUCCCCAAAAGAAGUUCCCAAGCAGGUGCCUCUAGCCUUCGGUUUGCCCUCUCUGUAUGAAUGCUAACGAGUCUUUGCUUCAUCUCUUCCUGCUUUGCCUCUAGUCCUCCUAUUGUUGGAGCGGUUUCUUCUCCAUCUUUGAUAUUGCUUGGGUCUUUGAUGCCUCCCUCAGCUCCUUGGUGCUUUAGCUAUUGGAGGGUCUGCCUUUACCUAAGAAACCUCGACUGAUUUGGUUAAAUCUACUAAAAGCUCUUUUAGCGAAAUUAUGGUUUGAACGCAAUCAACGGAUCUUUCAUGACAAGAAAAGACCAAGCUCAAAAAUCUUCAAUUCAGUGCAAUGUAAUGCAGCAGCUUAGUGCUCUCCCAACAAGAAUUUUGCAAAUUACUCCACUCAAGACCUUUUGUCUCAACUGGACAGUUUUUCUAUCUCAGUUAGUUUCUUAGGCCGCUUCUGAUGUGUUUCUCCCUAUCUGGACUUCCAUGGAGCUUAUUUCUAUGCCUUCUUUUUUAUUCUCACAUUAGUAUUUUUGUUGUGUUAAGAAGGCUCAGCCGGUCCAACUUUGUGUUUCUGCCCUACUUUCUUUUCUUUUCUAGUUUUCGGUGGUCUUUUAGUUUUGCUAUAAUAGGCUGGAUUUCGCUCUCAUUGUAUGAGGCUGGACUUCGUUCUCAUUGCUGUAAUAUGCUAGUUUUAUUUGGGAUAUGAUGUUUUGGUGCCAAGGGAGUGUCAAGUUAGUUGAGAUGUCUGGGUGCACCUUUUGAUCCCCUAGUUUUUCUUUUGCUUGUUUAGACUUCUUUAUUGUGCUCACUAUAUAUUUCUCUUGUACAUUGAGUUCUAUUUAUUAAUAAAGAAGUUUGCUCCGUUUCAAAAAAUAAGUAUUAAUAUGUCAAUAUAGACAUAUUUUACUAUAAAAAAGAAGUUUCCCCAACAUGUUUGUGUCUUACGUCUUAAGAUAUCAACAUGUCGUCAUGUUCGUGUCAUGCUGUUUAGCUUCCACAUUUGUUUUGUUAUUUAGUUUAUAUGGAUGUUUCAAACUCCAAGUCAAGAUUUAAAUACUAAAAAGUGUACUUUAGCUAUGAAUUCAAACAUUCCCUUGAAAGCUCUUUACUAAUGUCUUAACUCUAUGUUGCUUUGGUUCUUUCAUUGUUUCUUCUUUGUGAUUGUUUGUUGGUCGUUUUCCCUAUAAUAUUGCUCGAGUUCAUCUUUGUUUAGUUUAUUUGGAUGGUUUUGUCUUUUUCUUAUUUUGCUCUAAGUAUAAUACUCUUGUACUUUGAGCAUUAGUCUCAUUUAUUAUUAAUAAAGAGGCUUGCCUGCGUCUCAAAAAAUUCAAACAUUUCAUUAAGUAAAAUGAAAAUCAUUUAAAAAAAACUGUGAGAACAUAAUCACAAUAAUUGUAUCAAUUUAAUCCCUGAAAUUGUAAGUAUUCCAUUUACACCUUUUUCUAUAUUUUAUUAGACCUAUUGUAUAGCACUUGUUCCGUUUCAUCUUAAAAAGUUAUCGUAUUGAACUUGCAAGUAGUGAGUGAGCUGAGCUUCAGAUUCUUAAGGGGCUUUAGUCUCACUGGAAAGAAGGGGUUAUAAUCAACCAAUGUUAGUGGUCGUCGGCUCCUGUUGAAUUUUUUUUUUUCAUUCAUUCAUUCAUUCCUUUGUAUUCAAGCUGGAAAAUUCUAUGGGAUUACCGAAGUCUAUGUCGAUUCAUUAAUCUAAUUUGGAAAAUGGAUUUUGAUCAUGAAUUGUGUUUGGGAAGAUCCUAGAGUUUUUUUUUACCAAGCAAGCUUCUCCGCAUAAGACCUCGAUGGGGUCAUCAUCUCUUAGCCUCCUCGUGGUGUUCCUUCUCCAAGGAUCUCAAGUUUGUCUCAGUGUGAGUUGAUGGAUGUCUCCUAUAGUCUUUUAUUUGUAUUUGUAUUUGUAUUUCUUUGUACUUCUUUUGGUUUUGUUUUGCCUUUGGAUAUUACCCCUUUGUUUUGGUCUUUAGCUUGUUUGGAUAUGAUGAGGGUGUCAACCCUUAGGAGUUAGGUGCACCUCUUGAUCCAUGGUUACAUAUGUUCAUUGUAUAAUUCUUUUGUACUAUGAGCUUUUGUCUCAUUAUUAUUAUAUUAAUAAAGAGACCGUCUCCUUUUCAAAAAACAAAUUGUUAUAGUCACGACUUUAUUGAACAAUAUAUGUUCUAUAGGUUGUUUCCUUCGGUUCUAAUUAUACAAUCAUAAGUUUCACACAAGUUUUUUCCAGAAAAAAUGUAAUGAGUGAAGUAGGUUGAUAUACUUGUAAAAGUUUAGGGUUUAAAUUGAUAUAAUUGUUAGUUUAGUGUUUAAAUUGAUACAACUCCUAAAGUUUAGGGGUAUAAUUCGAUAUUUUCCCUAGAAUUUGUUUGUGCAAGAUUCUUAUCUUAGAUGGUUUUUCUUUUGUAUAACUUAAAGAAAGCCUUGUAUUUGCUUACAAAUACAGAGAAAAAAUGUAAUAAUAUUUCUAUUCCAAAUUCAAGUGAAAAGGUGUUUUCUUGGAUCUUGCUGUAGUUCGGCUAUAAUGUCAAGUCAAAGUUUAGUUUUUCUUUUUGAUUUCUUUUUCCCAUUUUUCGUUCAAAUUUGUUAUAAUUCAUAUAGCUUCCUCAAUUUGUAAAUUUCAUGAAGUCUUGUAAAUAUAUUUUCUAUGAAUUGAAUUUUCCGCUCGUUGAUUGUGUUCUUUUUUGUUUUAUUUAGUGCCUUAAAAAAGAAGUUAAAAGACAAGAUGACUGAAUUCCAGGUAAGUUUUUUUUUAUCUCUUUAUUGGAUUCAAGUCAUUAUUGCUUAAAACCAUGGGUUGAAUAUAUUGCAAUGAUAACUGUAGAUUUUACGGGAAAAAAUCCAUCAAGAGUAUCGGGAUGUUGUUGAGAGACGGGUUUUCACAGGUGUGUUCCCUCCCUCAGUCAUGAAAAUUCUAGUGCUUAAAGUUUUAUAAUUUUGGAGUUAGUUUUCACUGUUGGCUUCUUUGAUUUUCAGUCACGGGUGCUAGGGCUGAUGAAGAGGUAGUACUUCCACUAUUCUUAGAAUCCCUGUGGAUCCCAUUGAUAAUAUUUUAAUGUGCAACGGUCGUGUUUCAAUUUUAUGAACGUGCAGACCAUUGAGAAAUUAAUUGAAACUGGGGAUAGUGAACAAAUUUUUCAGAAGGCAAUUCAAGAACAAGGGCGAGGACAGGUAUAUUAGUUCUCCCUUAUCAUCACUUCCCCUUCUUCCUUUUCCCAGUAACAUUAUUUGCAUUGAAGUUUUAGCGUUGAAAGUUUAUGCUUUGAAGCUUUAUUGGUGUACAUGGUUAUGAACAUCUCAGUACACUUUUUGUGCCUUGAUUCGUGUUGUUGAUAUUUUUCUUUUCAUAUAUUACUUUGUAGGUAAUGGACACUUUAGCUGAAAUUCACGAACGUCACAGUGCAGUUAGAGAACUGGAAAGGAAGUUACUUGAGUUACAGCAGGUACAUUUUUAUGCAUACAGGAUCUUGAUUCCCCAGAAAUGGUAGCUAUGUGAAGUCAAACAUUGAGAAGAAAAGUUAUCUACUAUCAGCAGUAUAAUGUUUAAUAUAAAUCUUAUUUUGCUGUGCUGACAUUCAUUAUUAUCAUUUCGCUCUUAAAUUUUGCAUCCAGUUGAAUAUCCAACUUUAGUUUGAUUUCUUUUAUGCAACUGCUAAGUCAACUCACCAUGUUUGGAUAUUUAGACGGGCUGGUUGUACGAUUGGUUUUUAUGGCUGCUUCAAUCCAAUUAUUUUUCAAGGCAGGUUAAGAAAAACAUUGGAUGAAAUGAGAAUAAGGAGUUUUAAUUACCGUCUGGUGUCUAUUUUAAACAUUGAAUGACAUUGUAUUAAUUAGAUUUGUCAUAAAUCCUUGAGGAAUUUAUAAACUACAUUACUAUAAACUUUAGCACCACCUCCUUUAUGAGCUCUUCCGAGAGUGGUAUCUUCAGAAAAUUUUCCUGCAAGUACAAUAGUUGUUGGCCUUGAAUGUUCAAACUGCAAUCUGAAGAGGCUUUUCUGUACCUCUUUUUUUAUCUUUCCUUCUUUUUCUUUCCGAUAUCCAUCUCUCAUUCAAAAGAAUCACAGUACAUAUAACAAAACAUUACAUCGACCAACUAUCCUUAACUUUGCAGGUAUUUCUCGAUAUGGCAGUAUUGGUGGAGGCACAAGGGGAUAUGCUCGACAAUAUCGAAUCACAUGUAAAUACUCUAAUAGUUUGAUCUUGGAAUAUCUUCAUUUUGGAGUUGUAGGUGUGAAGUGUAACUAAAUGUAAAAUGAAUUUGUAACUACACGAUAUUCAUUCUGUUUGUAAUUCUUUCAGGUUACAAGUGCAGUAGAUCAUGUGCAACAAGGGAAUACUGCUCUUCAAAAGGCAAAGAAGCUACAAAAGAAUUCUAGGAAAUGGAUGUGCAUUGCCAUCAUAAUCCUUCUAAUCAUUGUUGUGGUCAUAGUAGUGGGAGUUCUUAAGCCAUGGAAUAAUGGUAAGGGUGCCUAAGUGCCCAGCAUCUUUCUGUAUAAAUAUAUCAUUUCAAAGCCAUUUGUACCUCUGCCUUUGACCUACAAUUUGUGUUGAUUUUGUGAUCCAUUUUUGGAACAAAGAUGCUAGGUGUGUGUCAUAUUGUUUUCAAGAUGAAGCAUAUAUAAAUAUAUGUGAGCAUAUUCUUUAUCUCUUCAACAAAAUGUGCAUUUGCUUGUGCAUUCUGUGAAAUAAAACAUUUUUCUCCAAGUUCAGUUCAUUGGCCUCCCUUUUUUCUCAACCGCAAGGGGGUUUCAACCUGAGCUGUUUGUGGAAUAACUUGACUUUCAGCAUGUGGUAGCUAUAUUGGGAUGUAUUCAACUUCUCCUUCAAAAUCAAUUUUAAUAAUAUGAAAUUUUCGUUUACAAGAUUAGUUAUACAAAUAUAACCAAAUAAUAACGACCAAGUAUUUGGUAAAUAAUAGAUUAGGAGAUUGAUCUUUACGUACAUAUUAUAAGUGCUUGAAUUGAAUUAACAGUUCAACCACAGCCCUGAAUUCUCAUAUUUUGAAAAAUCAUCAAUAAUCUAUUCUUUUUAUUAUACUGCAAAUGGAAAACUGGAUUUGAAUCGAUGAACACAAUUAAAGUAAUAGAAGUCUGGCCAUUUGAACCUAGCAACUAAAACUAAUAAAAUGAACUUGCUAUAUCUACUCUACAAACUUUUUCCAAUAUAAAAGGUGUUAACUUUAAAUAAUACAUAGACCACAUAUUUUUCAAAGAAAUGCAUGACAAAUUUUGUUAAGGUGAGCAGGAUAGAUCCAAAAUCAAGCCAAAUGACCAAACUAAAGGUGGUCGGUAGGAGAUAAAGAACGGUUCAAUCGGUUUCGAUUUGAAAAAAAUCCAGAUUGGUAACUUACUAAAAAAUAAAAUCAAGACUUGAACCGAUUGAUCAAUCAACAAAUGAUCGGUUUGAACAUUUAAUAAACUGACUUCGACCGAUCGAUGUUCAUCCCUAAAUUUAAUGUGAGUCGAUCUUUUACUAACCAUAUGAUUAUCACCUAAUGCAUUCCUACUAGCAAUAUGAGACAUUAGGUUUUGAAAAUUGAUGUUUAAAUUUGGAUAGCUACAUGAUGAAAAAAAAAAAACUUUAGAUAACAAAUGGAAUUAACCUCAAAACUCAUGAGUCUCAAAAAGAGCAUAUAGGCUUUGCUUAUUUUAUUUUAUUUACUUUUGUGGAAUAUAGUCUUCCCCUGCUCCCCCUCUCCUCCGCCCUGUUCCUCUCGAAGAAGCUCAAAUCCCAUCGCCUGCCGCCGUCCACUACUCGACUUUCCUCCGGCUUCUAGGAUACCGGUACGUCUCUCUCCAUCUCUCAACCCAACCCACUACCUUGAUUCUCGUCCAGUUUAGGGUUUCAUUGUUAUGCUCACAUCGGCGACCAUCUUUGGGUUUUUAGUACUUGCCGUUUCCACUGCUAUUGCAUUCGUGACAACUAAACUGAACUUUAGCCAUCUAUAAUCACCUGUAUAUAUUGAUCUUACAAAAUAAGUUUUUUUUUUUAGAUUGUGUAAGCAAAUUCAGUUUUAGGGUUUAUUGCCUUCCUUGCUGUUUCUGUUUCUUUUUAUGUUUCUGUUACGUUGUCUGAUUUGCGCUGCUUUGUUCUCUCCUUGGCAGUUUUGAUUCAAAUGACUGCAUUGUCAUUUCUGAGGCCAAGAAAAUCUGCUAUCUGCUCCUUGGUUUUUGGCAUUUCCCCUCAAGUUUUUGAGAAAUUUGGCUUAUUCUGCCCCAAGAUUGUUAAAUCCUUCCUGAAUCCAUGUGCCCAUCAAUCGCACAUUCAAAGCUUUUGGAGGGUUUUUCCAUUAGGUGUACUGUAUUCGACUCAAUCCUCAAAACUUCCUGAAUAUGAAAUGCCUACGGUCACAUGGGGAGCUGUUCAAGGGCGAAAAGAAAAACUUGUGUCCCGUGUCAUAAUCUGUGACUACUUAAAGAGUUUGGGGAUUGUUCCUGAUGAAUUAGAACACUUGGAGUUGCCUUCUACUGUUGAAGUCAUGAGAGAGCGUGUCGAGUUUCUUCAGAAGUUAGGAUUGACAAUCGAUGACAUUAACGAGUUCCCAUUAAUUCUAGGCUGUAGUGUUCGCAAAAAUAUGAUACCUGUUCUAGGUUACUUAGAGAAAAUUGGGAUUCCAAGGCCGAAACUUGGAGAAUUUAUUAAGAAUUAUCCACAGGUCUUGCAUGCCAGUGUCAUUGUUGAGCUUGCUCCCGUCAUUAAGCUUCUUCGUGGGCUCGAUGUCGAGAAAGAAGAUAUUGGAUAUGUCCUCCAGAAAUACCCUGAGCUUCUGGGUUUCAAGCUUGAGGGGACAAUGAGUACAUCUGUUGCAUAUCUUGUGAGUAUAGGUGUUAAUCCGAGAGAUAUUGGACCAAUGGUCACACAGUACCCGUUCUUUCUGGGGAUGAGGGUUGGAACCAUGAUCAAGCCCCUUGUUGAGUUUAUUGUUUCUCUAGGUUUGCCGAAGAAGAUAGUAGCAAGAAUGCUCGAGAAGCGAGCAUACAUACUUGGUUACGAUCUUGGAGAGACAGUGAAACCCAAUAUAGAUUGCUUGCUAAGCUUUGGGAUUAGGAAGGAGCUGCUUCCUUCAGUGAUUGCACAAUAUCCACUAAUUCUGGGGUUGCCUUUGAAAGCUAAGAUGUCUUCUCAGCAAUUCUUCUUUGACCUAAAGCUCAAGAUUGAUCCUGCAGGGUUCGCACAGGUGAUCGAAAAAAUGCCACAGAUGGUCAGCCUUCACCAACAUGUGAUAAUUAAACCUGCAGAAUUCCUUCUUGAACGCGGUAUAGCGUCCUCUGAUGUAGCAAAGAUGAUCGUUCAAUGCCCCCAGCUUCUUGCUUGUCGUGUACCACUCAUGAAAAAUAGUUACUACUUCUUCAAGUCUGAUAUGGGGAGGCCAAUUAAAGAGCUUGUCGACUUCCCUGAAUAUUUUACAUACAGUUUGGAAUCGAGGAUAAAACCAAGGUAUCAGAGGCUGCAGAGCAAGGGAAUCAGUUGUUCAUUAAAUUGGUUUCUCAACUGCAGUGAUCAAAGGUUUGAGGAAAGACUGAAAGGUGAAUUCAUUGAGACAGAGAGUUUGAGGCCAUCAUUUUGUAUGGGAGGGAGGUUAGAGCUGCCAAGUAAUGAGACUAUUGUGUCAGAUGAUGAGGAUGAGUGUGAUGAACAACUUCAUAGACGCAUUGUUUCUCUUUAGAAAAUUCCCCCUUUUAUUUACUCUAUUCAAUUCAAUUCAUCUUUUUGCUCUGUCUGUUUGGUUUGUGAUCUUUUUUUGGUUUUAUGUUUUUCUAAAACCAAAUAUACAAAGAUAGUGGUGAGAUUAAACAUUGUAUACUUGUUCUCACGAAGGAUUUUCAAAAACUAACUCUUGAAAACAACCCUACCCUAAAUUCAAUGAUAUUUAUUGUUCAUUUAAUUAAUAUAUAAGGUUGCCAACUUCAUUUCGUAAAUUAAAUACAAACAUAAUUUUUCUUCAUAUGUUUUCCAUGUUAAUCCAAUUCAAUCAUCUUUGAUUCCUUAAACUAUCUCUAUCUCUAUGGAUUAUUUACUUUAGACACUAAAACUUUAAACUAACACACUUCUGAGAGUUAUCAAUGACAUGUAAUUUAGUUGGAUGGUUACACAAAAUUAGUGGUUUUUUUUUUGUUUUUGUUCUCUUAUGUUCCUUCUUUUUGCUUUUGCCCAAAAUCAUAAACUUUUGAUUGCGCCCAUUGUGGUGAUAUUCAAAUGUUUAGUUCUAUCAAGUAUGCUUUUACUAUGUAAAAAUUAUUAUUAACAAUGUUGAUAUUGAAUUGUAUAUGACCAUAUUCAGACCCAUAAUAACAUUUUAUGUAAUAACAAUUGUCUCAGGUGGACUUUGUUAUCCCAAGUUACCUGGGCUUUCGAAUGAAAAAAAAAUGUUACUUUUAAACAAAUUAGUUAUAUAAUCUAUUAAUAUAACAUAAUCCAAAUUUUGUUAUAUAUGUAAAUUCUUGAAAUAUAUUUGAUAUUGUAACGCAAAAUAGAACAAAAUCAAUCAGAUCUUUUGUAGCUAAUUUAAGAUUUUUUCCUUUUGUUUUUCAAUAUUUUACGAAUAAUUUCAAUUUUGUUGUUAUCAUAACAAUUUCACUGAAUUCUUUUGCAUAUACAAAUACUUUACUAUAUUUACAACAACACCCAUCAAGGAUUAAACACAUAAAUUUAGCCAAACAUGAAAAAUUAUCAUAAAUAAGAAAGAAACGGAUUGUGCAAUAAUAUCUUUUGCCAAGUUUAAAGAAAAGUAAAAGAGAGAAAAUGUUAGAUGGGAAACAUCAUUCGAAUUAAGUUCUAUUAUUUAAGUGACUAAAAAAUGUAAAGAAUUAUAUACUACCUGUAUAUGAAAAGUAUUUUUCUGAGCAUACUACAACUUCUCACUAGUAAAUUUCUUCUGAGAAAAAAGAAAAAAGAAAAAAGAAAAAAAAUGAUACAACUAUACUUUUCUUGAUUUCAAUGUUUGAGAAAAAUGUUUAUGAAUCGCAUGCACUAUUAUUUCCUAUAAAUGCUAUAUCCUCUACACAAAAAAAGAACAAAAAUCUUCAUUCCGAAGCCAAUAUCAUUUCCACUUACCAAAUUUUAGUCGUUGGGAUCCAUUUCCUCAUCCUGAUCAAUGAGAUUAUCCAAAUAGCUUUUCCCACUGUCGUAAUUAGAUUCUGCUUGUUCCGAUGAUUCAAUCUCUUCAUCCCACUUGUUAUCCCCUUCCUCAGCCGAGUCCAACGAUUCAAUUUGUUGACCAUCUGACAUCCAGUCAGGGCACUUCUCUUCGUCUCCAUAAACAGUUUUGUCCUUCUGCUUCACAAGAUGAACAGAUGCUUCACCACCAGAAGAUAAUCUACAGAAGCAUUCUGGAAGUGGAUGCGACAAAAACGACGUAGGCUUCGAGAAGAUGGCCUGUUUUAUCAGGCCUUCCUCACCCAAGCUCUUGUUGAGAUGCUCCUGCACUGUAUGUGUCCAGUUAUGCAUCGGAUGAUACAAAUUAUCACGGGUAAUGUUCAAAACAGUUGCUAGGAACUUCCUGUUAAGGAAAAAGAAACCGUCAGAGAAGAAAAAAUUUCAUCGCAUAUCUGCUCCAAUAAUAUGCAUACGUUCAACAUAAACAAGAGAAUGAUCCGAAACUAUAGUGCAUAUUGACCAAUCAAUAUUGAAAAAUUCAAUUAUACACAAAUACAAAUAUACAAUGCAUCUUAUUCUCGUUUUGUUCAAAUGUAAACUCAUUGUACUUGGUCAACCAGAACAGUCAACUGGAGCACAUCUUAAUUGGUUAACCAUCGAUUAGGAGGUUAAAAGGUUCUUUGAUCUCCAAUACUGAGUUGUCAAACUAAAAAGGAAAUAAAAGAAAUAGACUCCCUGAACAUGCAAUAGCAUGCAAACAUUCACUUGUACACAUAAAUUAGAUUCCAUAAAGAAUCCAAAACCCAUGUAAGACUGGACAUCGAACUGUUGUUUUUCGCAACUUCCAAACAUAGGAAUCAAACACUCGACAUCCAUAUAUUUUGCCUGAAUGUACCAAAAAUAUAUCUCUCAAUAAUUCCUCUAAGAUGGAUGCUUUUUAUAGGAAAAUAAAUCCCACUAGAACCAGUAUCCAAAAGAUCAACGGGAAGAGUUAGAUCAACUUAAUUAAUAACUUGCCCAAAUAAUGAUUUUUGUAAAAUUAACAAUUAAGUUAAUAAUUAAGGGAUAAUUGUGUAUCUAUAGGAUUUAUGAAAAUGAGGAUUUAUUAGAACUGUUCAAGACCUUUUACAACUAUAAGCUAAUAACGAAUGAGCAGUGGUUCAUCAUCAGAUUCCUUAAUAUACCUGUCAGGUCGAUAAGUCCUAGAUGAAGAACUCUCAUAUAGUCGUUGUCCCAUGACCAAGCUUGAAAAAUCUGGCCAACUGCUACCAUCGUUGUUAAAACCCGGAAAGAAUGCAUCAGCUUCAAGACAAACCAUGUAAUCAAGAGCAUCCAAAAGUAACCGAUGGGCUUGUAACCUCAUAUCCAUUGGUGAAGGGUCGGGUUCUUUAUCAGUUUCUGUAAUCCAACCAUACCACCCUUCUUUCUCAUGACGAUAGAUAGGUCUAUCUGGAGGGGGAGGAAGAGGUCUUGGCCGAGGACCAGCCUUGUUCCACUCAUCUUUUAGUUGUUGCUCACUUUUAGAAGGAGGUGGCCGAUAAAAAUCAAGAGGAAGAGUGGUCUCAGGUCCAAAUAUGGAAGCUAACUCCUCCUCACUGCAAAAAGAAGUGUGAUCGACCAAAUUAUUAAACAUUGCACGCAGAGGGAUCAGCAAUCGCUGGCCACCAAAAGUUUCAGACCCUGCUACAUAAACAAUUGUUUUAGGAGGAUAUCCCAUUGCCCGAAGGAGAACCCCAACCUGCAAAAAUUUUAACAGAAAUAAGUUGUCAAAAUGUAACUCUUUCCCUGCUAUUUGAAGACUAAAAAAUUCAGUGUAAUCACUAAGGGAACGUUUCGGCCUCUAAAUCACUAUUUCGUAGCACAGGCCAGGGCCCAUUCAAAUGUUUUGAAGAUUUGAGGAAAGAGAAUCUAUAGUAAAAUAACAGAGUGCAAUCAGUAUUCCUCUGUACUAAGACUAAACUUCACAAAUUAGACCAAUAGAGAAUCACAAUCAUUUCUUCAAUAAAAAAAGAAAAGCUUCCAUUAAAAUAAAUAGAAGCAUGAAGUAGGGUGAAACCAAAGAUGGAGCAAUGAGGAAAAACACCCACCCUCAAAGCCAAACAGAAAAUCUACAUACCCCAGGCCCAGUUGAUUGAAUUCACAUUCUAACAUAUUUUUUGGAAGAAAACAACAUGCAGAAUGAGGGAUUUCGACUUCUAACCUUGACCUUAGUUGAGUAAUUCUCAUGUUGGCUAUUCCUUGUACAGAUCACAAGGAACAAUUUCUUACAUGACUGUCACAAUUUCUAAAAGUACACAGUGAAGUGCUAGAAAUAGAGAGAUGCUAUAAGUAGUGAGCUGGAAUACAAAUUUCACAAAGAAUAUUGUAUCACCUAAAACAUCACAAGCAUCAAAUACAAAGAAUUGCCUAUAGAAAUUUAAAGUGCAUCCUAACCUUUAUGUCUACACUUAAAUGCUCGAGUUAAAUCCUUGUCUGAAUGCAUAAGUAAAGCAUGUUAAUGCAGUGACAAGCAAACAAAAUACCUAAUAGCUAUACAAUUAAAAAAAACAAUAAUAAAAAAAAGUAACUCUAAAAUUGAAAAUGGAAUAAUCGCAGCCAAGCGUAAAAGAGCACACUUUAUUUAAGCUAGAGUUAUCUGUUAAUGUACAAAAAUUUAACUCGACAGAACAUCAAGAUCCAAAUAUGAUACCAUCCAAAAGCAUCCAUGUUAGUUCUUAAGAAGAAUGAAAAGCCUGAUUCAUGGAUAAAAAGAUCCUUUCACUUAUUUAUGUCCCAAAUAACUGGGUGAAAUGAUAUCAAUCAUUUAUCUUAUCAAAUCUUCAGGUAUUAGAUCCCAAACAUUGUUUCAAGAGACUGAAUAUCAUUUAAAUGUAGGAAGCACAAAAAUUUAAACUAGAAGAGAUCCAUAUAACCAAUUGGAAGUUUGAACUUCUAAUUAGCAACUAAAUCUAUAAACCAUGACAUUCUAGAGACAAAUUAGAACUAGAUUACCCAGCCUUCAGAACCACAGGUAUCCAGUUCAUUUCUGCACAGUUUACUUAUCCCAUAGUCAAUUAUCUGUGCUCAUAAAAUUUAGCAUAACAAAACUUAUGAUAUAUUAAGAUAUUUAACAUCUUCAGUAAGUAAUAAUCAUAGUUUGAACCAAUUAUUUCAAAGACUUCAACAUUAACUCCUUAGCCCACUCAACUACUGAACUAAAUCAGGGUGGUCGUGGUCAUUAAAUAUCAGCUUACAAUCUUUGUAUGGAAGCCUAGAAUAUCUCCAGCUGGUUUGUCACUUAUUUGGUAAUCAAAGUAUCAGUCAGCAAUAAAGGGAUAUUUAUAUUUGACAGUACGUUGUGCUUAAAAAGUGAUUAGUCAAGAGACUCAAGCUCAAACCUCUUCAGGCAUCAGAGGGCAGGCACCAUUAUCUCUCUGUUUGCGAGAAUCCACACUCAGUUCUUCCCUGAUAAUCCCUUUUUUUAUCAUCUGUGCCCUUCGAUACUGAAUGAGUUCAGUGUGCACAUCCUAAAAAAGUACAACUCAACAAAAUGAUAAAUAGCACAAACUCAUUGAGAAUCAAACGUCAUUUCCCUUGUCAACUAUUAUGCAUAAAAACGUUCUCAAACGGCUACCUGAAAGAGUUCAGCACACCCAUGGUAUGCCAGGAUAUCUCUGAUUAAUCCAGGAUGAAAAGCAAGGAAAGGUUGGCCCCAAGCUCGUAGCCUGUAAAUUGUGAAGAUGCACAUUUCAGGAUUCCAGUAUACAAGUCUAUGAUAUUAAAUCAUCCACACAGCAUCAUGGAGCAUAUAUAUAUAUAUGCAGAUGUUAUCUUUCCAAGUAUCUGAACAGUAUAUAAGUCUCUGUUUAAUUAGUUUUCUUUCCCAUGCUUAUAGUGCAGGAAAAAAAACAAUAAUAACAAAAAUAAAAUAAAUCUACAUCCAGUGCACAAGUCAGAAGAUACCUCUGCACUAUUUUCUUUCCAAGCAUCUGAACUUCUGGCCGGAAGUUGAGUGCAUGGAAGGCGACCCUGCAUCUGAGUCUUUGUAGUUCAGACAUGCCAGAAGGAAGGGUAGACUGGAGAUAGAAAAUAUGAAAAAUGAAAUUCCUCAAUUCGUGUGUAAAUUGUCCAUACAUUCAAAUAAAAUAUAAAAUAACAAAAUGAGUGAAAAAUGCAGGAAAUUUGCAUCAGUAUAGAAAGCCUACAAAACUUCCGCUGAAAAAUUAUCAGAUCACAAUAAAAUGUCAACAAAUAAACUAACAUGGAUGAUGAUACGCUCCAUAAUGUUCUUGUGACUGAUGUUUUUAGUCAAAUGGUAAAAGCUACUAGGGAUGACUUUGUACAAGGUUUAACUUUCAAUGAAGACAGAUUUAAACCAUUUUGUCAUCUUGAUAUCACAUAAAAAUUUUGAAGUUCAGAAGAAAAGCUACCUGCAGACAUCCACCAUCAUAAAGAACCAAUCCUAUAACCUUGGCGCUCUUCAAGCUUGGAAGAACUUUUUGAAGAUAAUAGCUAGGAGAGGCUGAACUUUUGGGUUUAAAUAUAGGGAACUCGUUUCUUUUCCUUGAAGUCUUCAAAUUAUCCGGCAAACUUUUCAUGACAAGCACAUCAUUUUUGAGAUAAGAUAUGAAUUGUUCUUCGUUGUAAAGAUAAGAAAAGCUCUUGAAUCUGUCACUGGACAAUUAAUAACAUGCGUAAGCAGUAAGAUGUAGAUCACCCCCAUAUAGAAACUAAAAAGGAAAAGACAAGUAUUGACUAGCAUAUCAAUCAUUAUACCUGAUGCCUUUAGCACGAGUACUUUCUUGAAUCUCAGGGAGAACAAGAGUUGCAUUCAGUAGCCUAGCUAUAGCAACCAGAUCACAGAUCUAGAAAAUUAAAAACUAUUAGGUUAAUAGUUAAAACUCAAAGUUAAAAAAAAAAAAAAACAAGAAGAAGAAUAAACGUAUUUUCUUAAUAUCUUACCGAAGAUCUUAUAUUUGCAAAACCACCAAACACUUUUGCAUAAAUGAAACCAUUACUCUGCUCACUUGGGGCUGCAAGGAAAAGAGAUGAUUUAAUUCACUAAAUCUACUCCUGCUUGCAGCAGUUCAACAAGAAAAGAAAAAGGGAGAAAAGGUUAAAACUAAAGGAAACAAAGAAGAAGAAAUUUGAAUUCAAAAUAGAAAGUCAAGAUCACAUGAGUGGGAAAUAUAUGAUGCGUGCAUAUGUAUAAAGGAAACAAUGUCACCACAUCUAUCAAAACAAGUCAGAUUUUUUCUUAAAAGUACACAAUUUUUUAAAGGAUACCACACUUUUCAUUAUUUUUCUUUUUUGGAUAUCCGUGAAUGUCCAGGCUAGUUUACGCAUAUCUCGACUAAUCUCACAGGACAACCUGCUUAACCCUACAACAUUAGGGUGUCAAGGUAACUCAUAGGAAAUUAAUUCCAAGGUAAGUGGUCACUAUGGAUUGAACUUAUAACCUCUUAGUUAGUUAUUGAGACUAUAUCUCAUUUUUUACCACUAGACCAAACCCAUGAUGAUUCAUACCACAAUUUUUAUUAAAAAGAUGAAAAUAGGCCAAUGCUCCAAGAUAGGAGAGGAAAAUCAAUUACACAAAACUAUUAAUCCAUUUGGUGAUGAAAAUGUUUACAAGAACCAAGAUUUGGGUGGAGCCCAACAAAUUUUUCUAGAUUUUUUUCUUUUCUUUUUUCUCCUUUUUUCUUUUUUUAUGUCCAUGAGUGUCCAGGCUCACUUACGCGCACCUCGACUAAUCUCACAGGACAACCCGCCAAACUCUACAACAUUUGGAUGCAAGAAACUCGUAGGAAAUUAAUUCCUAGGUAAGUGGCAACCAUGGAUCAAACCCAUGACCUCUUAACUAUUGAGAUUGUGUCUAUUUUUUACCACAAGGCCAACCCAUGAUGGUCCUUUUUUUAUGAAAAGAUUUUAAAUGAUCAAAUCUUUUCGCAAAAAAAAAUGAAAAGAGACUAAUGUUCAAGGAUACAAAAAGAGACUAAACUGAAAGAUAAAAACUGCAUAUAAGGAAUAAUGAAAUAACUAAGCAAAAGUUUGAAAACUACAAGCCAACAUCGAAGCCAAAUGAUGCUCUAAAAAAAUAGUCCGACAACAAUAAAUAUAUUGACUUGAGACCCCUUCAAAGAAAUUGGAGAGAUGACACCUUGAAGAAGCCCUUAACAAGCUGAAUCAAACCGAGCAAGAGAGCUUUGGAAAGAAUUCUGAAUAAUGCGAUGAUUUCUUUCCUACCAAAUGUUUAUAAUGGAUAGCAUUUGCAGCAUUAACCUAAUUUGCAGCAUUCUGGAAAACCUUGUUUAAUUUUGUUUUGAGAAGUUUUAAGAGUUCUCAGGUCAGUCGUUUAAUCUUUUCACAUGCUCAUCACAAGGAUCCUAGUGAUAUGAUCAUGGAGUUCUUCGUCCAUUCACCCUCGAGAGAGAAGGAAUGUUUUUCAUGCCUUGCUGGGGUAUGCACUUUAUUGUGGAUGAUUUGGAGAAGCGGAAUGCUAGGGUGUUUUAAAAUGUGAUCUUAUAUCAAACACUUUGCUAAAAUGCAGAGAAAGUAAAUAACCCAAGAGAUCCAUUUAUUGAACUGUGGAAUUUCAAAACGUUGAUUGAAUCAAUGAACCUAUUGAACUGUCUCAUGCCUCUGUGAUAUUAAGUAAAACGUUCAUGUGCUCACAUAGUGAAUUAAAAUCUCCACAAAUACACCAUGCAUCUGUGCAGUAAUCUGAAAGGGAGAACAGUUCUGGCCACACAAAUCUUCAUUCUUUGUAACCAUUUGGACGUAUACAUUAGCCCUUCUACUGACUCUAGUGUUGUCAAAAAUUUUGUCCCACUUUAUUUAUGAAGAAGUGGUCUAGGAGUGAUCUAGAGGUUGUGCUCCCUUCUCUAGACCAAGUGUAUUUACCAUUUUGAAGAGGAAUUUCCAGAAUGUUGAUUGAAUCAAUGAAACUAUUGAACCGUCUCAUGCCUCGUGUGUAUCUUCGAAAGGAAAACAUUCAUGUGCCCACCUUGUGAUAUUAAAAUCUCCACUAAUACACCAUGCCUCUGUGCAGUAAUCUGAAAGGGAGAACAGUUCCGGCCAUACAAAUCUUCUUUCCUUGUAAUCAUUAGUUACAAAAACGUUCCCAUUUUCCUAACAGUUCCAGAGAAAAAUGGAGCCAACAGAUUGUGUCGGAUUGGACCCAUUGCUAAUUUUGAUAGAAAGACACUCUUAAAAUGCUUUCCUACAAACAACCAACAAUUUCAAAGAAUGUUGAUUUGAGCUUCUGCUAAUUGUUCAUAAAGCAGGCAUCGUUUAUCCUCCCCAUGAGUAUUUACGAUAACUACGUAUCAAACCUCCACACCCAUUUGGGGACCAAAGCAGAACCUCCUGACAUGAACACUCCACCCCCUCUUAUGACAAGAGACUAUUUCCCGACCAAAUAAAUGAUUACUCAAAUCAAUACUCUCACAGGUCCCAGAAAAAUCUCUUUCAAGAAUUUUAGAAACUUUAGUUGGGUUCUUGAACGAAGAAAGAAAACUUUAGUUGGAAUUGUUCGUUGAUGCAAUUCCUCCUCGAUGUGCAAUUUGUUCAAGCCAUGCGGAUUUUGAAUUAAGUUUCAUCGAUGAUGGGAAGACUUUUGGAAGCUGUUGGUGGCAGCUGUUUUUUCACCAUUGGGUUGGAAAGGGAUCACCGUAUUUUGAGAUACCUUCUUUGACACUAUCCACAGUUGACAUUAAAACCCCUUUGGCUAGUUUUGGAAGUUUCCUCCUUCUCACUGUUGUGUCAGGACAUUUUUUACUAGAAUUAAAACCUUUGUUUCUUUACCCACACAAACACACUCAAAACUUAAAUUAUUAAGCUCUAAUCCGGUAACCAAAUGUUUGCCUUUUAAACUUUAAAUUAAAGGAUAAUUUACAAUCUAAAUAAAUUUUUUUGGCUGAAAUCAUUUGAAACAAGCUUUGAAAUAAGACAUAAUGAAACUUAAUGAAGCAUAUGCUAUCUGGUAAAAAUGCUAAACUAUCUAACCAUUUCAUAGUAAGAUCUUUUUUC
rnacentral:lncRNA from 1 species